GAUCAUACCAGCACUAAUGCACCAGAUCCCAUCAGAACUCCGCAGUUAAGCGUGCUUGGGCGAGAGUAGUACUAGGAUAGGGGACCAACCAGAAAGUCCUCGUGGUGCAUCCCACUUUUUCUUUCGGUUUUUCUCUAUUUUGUUUUGUUAAAAAUGUAUGACUCUAUAACGUUUAGACCGUGAGGCAAAACUUGGAAUGUGAUACCUUUUCGGAAAGCCCAAAGAGAGCUCUCCGAUAAAUGAGGAAGGAAAAUGGAAUUCUUCUAUUGGUUUUUUAUUCUACUCCAAAUUUUGACCUUAAUGUACUUUUUUGGUCUUUUUGGUGAUCUUUGCUAUAUGACAGGGCGAAAAUUAUAUGAUCGGACAUUGUUUUCGAAUAUUUUGCAUGUAUCAAAGCUCUUAUAAACAAGAUAGGGUAUUCCUACAUAGCUGGUGGGAGCCACGGCAAAUGGAUCUUAAAGUCUUCAAAAAAAGAAUAGAUACGAUUGCAUUGGAUGUAGUAAACGGAUGCGAUCAUACCAGCACUAAUGCAACGGAUCCCAUCAAAACUCCGCAGUUAAGCGUGCUUGGGCGAGAGUAGUACUAGGCUGGGUGACCUCCCGGACAGUCCUCGUGUUGCAUCCCUCUUUUCUUUUUCGGUUUUUCUCUAUUUUGUUUUGUUAAAAUUGUAUGACUCUAUAACUUUUAGACCGUGACGCCAAACUUCGCAUGUGAUACCUUUUCGGAAAGCCCAAAGAGAGCUCUCCGAUGAAUGAGGAAGGAAAAUGGAAUUCUUCUAUUGGUUUUUUUGCUAUUCCAAAUUUUGACCUUAAUGUACUUUUUUGGUCCUUUUCGUGAUAUUUGCUAUAUUACAGGGCAAAAAUUAUAUGAUCGGACAUUGUUUUCGAAUAUUUUGCAUGUAUCAAAGCUCUUAUAAACAAGAUAUGGUAUUCCUACAUGGCUGGUGUGACCCACGACAAAUGGAUCAUAAAGUCUUAAAAAAAAAGAUAGAUACGAUUGCAUUGCAUGUAGUAAACGGAUGCGAUCAUACCAGCACUAAUGCACCGGAUCCCAUCAAAACUACGCAGUUAAGCGUGCUUGGGCGAGAGUAGUACUAGGCUGGGUGACCUCCCGGAUAGUCCUCGUGUUGCAUCCCUCUUUUCUUUUUCGGUUUUUCUCUAUUUUGUUUUGUUAAAAUUGUAUGACUCUAUAACUUUUAGACCGUGAGGCCAAACUUUGCAUGUGAUACCUUUUCGGAAAGCCCAAAGAGAGCUCUCCGAUGAAUGAGGAAGGAAAAUGGAAUUCUUCUAUUGUUUGUUUUUUCUAUUCCAAAUUUUGACCUUAAUGUACUUUUUCGGGCUUUUUCGUGAUCUUUGCCAUAUUACGGGGCGAAAUUAUAUGUUCGGACAUUGGUUUUGAAUAUUUUGUAUGUAUCAAAGCUCUUAUAAACAAGAUAUGGUAUUCCUACAUGGCUGGCGUGACCCACAGCAAAUGGAUCAUAAAGUCUUCAAAAAAAGAAUAUAUACGAUUGCAUUGCAUGUAGUAACGGAUGCGAUCACACCAGCACUAAUGCACCAGAUCCAAUUAAAACUCCGCAGUUGAGCAUACUUGGGCGAGAGUAGUACUAGGAUGGGUGACCUCCCGGAAAGUCCUCGUGUUGCAUCCCUCUUUUCUUUUUUUUGUUAAAAAUGUACGACUUUAUAACUUUUAGACCAUGAGGCCAAACUUGGAAUGUGAUACCUUUUCGGAAAGCCCAAAGAGAGCUCUCCUAUGAAUGAGGAAAGAAAAUGGAAUUCUUCUAUUGGUUUUUUAUUCUACUCCAAAUUUUGACCUUAAUGUACUUUUUUGGUCUUUUUCGUGAUCUUUGCUAUAUGACAGGGCGAAAAUUAUAUGAUCGGACAUUGUUUUCGAAUAUGUUGCAUGUAUCAAAGCUCUUAUAAACAAGAUAGGGUAUUCCUACAUAGCUGGUGGGAGCCACGGCAAAUGGAUCUUAAAGUCUUCCAAAAAAGAAUAGAUACGAUUGCAUUGCAUGUAGUUAACGGAUGCGAUCAUACCAGCACUAAUGCAACGGAUCCCAUCAAAACUCCGCAGUUAAGCGUACUUGGGCAAGAGUAGUACUAGGAUGGGGGACCUACCAGAAAGUCCCCGUGGUGCAUCCGACUUUUUCUUUCGGUUUUUCUCUAUUUUGUUUUGCUAAAAAUGUAUGAUUCUAUAACGUUUAGACCGUCAGGCCAAACUUGGCAUGUGAUACCUUUUCGGAAGCCCAAAGAGAGCUCUCCGAUGAAUGAGGAAGCAAAAUGGAAUUCUUCUAUUGUUUUUUUUUUCUAUUCCAAAUUUUGAGCUUAAUGUACUUUUUCGGGCCUUUUCGUGAUCUUUGCUAUAUUACGGGGCGAAAAUUAUAUGUUUGGACAUUGUUUUCGAAUAUUUUGCAUGUAUCAAAGCUCAGAUAAACAAGAUAGGGUAUUCCUACAUACCUGGUGGGACCCACGGCAAAUGGAUAGUAAAAUCUUCAAAAAAGAAUAGAUACUAUUGCAUUGCAUGUAGUAAUGGAUGCGAUCAUAUCAGCACUAACGCACCGGAUCCCAUCAAAACUCCACAGUUAAGCGUGUUUGGGCGAGAGUAGUACUAGGAUGGGGGACCUACCAAAAAGUCCUCGUGGUGCAUCCCACUUUUUCUUUCGGUUUUUCUCUAUUUUGUUUUGUUAAAAAUGUAUGACUCUAUAACGUUUAGACCGUCAGGCCAAACUUGGCAUGUGAUACCUUUUCGGAAAGCCCAAAGAGAGCUCUCCGAUGAAUGAGGAAGCAAAAUGAAAUUCUUCUAUUGUUUUUUUUUCUAUUCCAAAUUUUGACCUUAAUGUAGUUUUUCGGGCCUUUUCGUGAUCUUUGCUAUGUUCGGACAUUGUUUUCGAAUAUUUUUCAUGUAUCAAAGCUCUUAUAAACAAGAUAUCGUAUUCCUACAUGGCUGGUGUGACCCACGACAAAUGGAUCAUAAAGUUUUCAAAAAAGAAUAGAUACGAUUGCAUUGCAUGUAGUAAACGGAUGCGAUCAUACCAGCACUAAUGCACCGGAUCCCAUCAAAACUCUACACUUAAGCGUGCUUGGGAGAGAGUAGUACUAGGAUGGGUGACCUCCAAGAAAGUCCUCGUGUUGCAUCCCUCUUUUCUUUUUUCGGUUUUUCUCUAUGUUUUUUUGUUAAAAUUGUAUGACUCUUUAACUUUUAGACCGUGAGGCCAAACUUCGCAUGUGAUACCUUUUCAGAAAGCCCAAAGAGAGCUCUCCGGUGAAUGAGGAAGGAAAAUUGAAUUUUUCUAUUGGUUUUUUUUUCUACUCCAAAUUUUGACGUUAAUGUACUUUUUGGGGCCUUUUCGUGAUCUUUGCUAUAUUACGGAGCGAAAAUUAUAUGUUUGGACAUUGUUUUCGAAUAUUUUGCAUGUAUCAAAGCUCUGAUAAACAAGAUAGGGUAUUCCUACAUAGCUGGUGGGACCCACGGCAAAUGGAUCGUAAAGUCUUCGAAAAAGAAUAGAUACGAUUGCAUUGCAUGUAGUAACGGAUGCGAUCAUACCAGCACUAACGCACCGGAUCCCAUCAAAACUGUGCAGUUAAGCGUGUUUGGGCGAGACUAGUACUAGGAUGGGUGACCUCACGGAAAGUCCUCGUGUUGGAUCCCUCUUUUCUUUUUUCGAUUUUUGUCCUCUUUUUUUUGUUAAGAAUGUAUGACUCUAUUACUUUUAGACAGUGAGGCCAAACUUCGCAUGUGAUACCUUUUCGGAAAGCCCAAAAAGAGCUCUCUGAUGAAUGAGGAAGGAAAAUUGAAUUCUUCUAUUCUUUUUUUUUCUACUCCAAAUUUUGACGUUAAGGUACUUUUUAAGGCCUUUUCGUGAUCUUUGCUAUAUUACGGAGCGAAAAUUAUAUGUUUGGACAUUGUUUUCGAAUAUUUUGCAUGUAUCAAAGCUCUCAUAAACAAGAUAGGGUAUUCCUACAUAGCUGGUGGGACCCACGACAAAUGGAUAGUAAAGUCUUCAUAAAAGAAUAGAUACUAUUGCAUUGCAUGUAGUAACGGAUGCGAUCAUAUCAGCACUAACGCACCGGAUCUCAUCAAAACUCCGCAGUUAAGCGUGUUUGGGCGAGAGUAGUACUAGGAUGGGUGACCUCCCGGAAAGUCCUCCUGUUGCAUCCCUCUUUUCUUUUUUCGGUGUUUCUCUAUUUUUUUUUGUUAGAAAUGUAUGACUCUAUAAGGUUUAGACAGUGACGCCAAACUUCGCAUGUGAUACCUUUUCAGAAAGCCCAAAGAGAGCUCUCCGAUGAAUGAGGAAGGAAAAUUGAAUUUUUCUAUUGGUUUUUUUUCUACUCCAAAUUUUGACGUUAAUGUACUUUUUUGGGCCUUUUCGUGAUCUUUACUAUAUUACGGAGCGAAAAUUAUAUGUUCGGACAUUGUUUUCGAAUAUUUUGCAUGUAUCAAAGGUCUUAUAAACAAGAUAGGAUAUUCCUACAUAGUUGGUGGGACCCAUGGCAAAUGGAUCGUAAAGUCUUCAAAAAAGAAUAGAUACGAUUGCAUUGCAUGUAGUAACGGAUGCGAUCAUACCAGCACUAAUGCACCUGAUCCCAUCAAAACUCCGUAGUUAAGCGUGCUUGGGGCGACAGUAGUACUAGGAUGGGUGACCUCCCGGAAAGUCCUCGUGUUGCAUCCCUCUUUUCUUUUUUCGGUUUUUCUUUUUCUUUUUUUGUUAAAAAUGUAUGACUCUAUAACUUUUAGACAGUGAGGCAAAACUUCGCAUGUGAUACCAUUUUGGAAAGCCCAAAGAGAGCUCUCCGAUGAAUGAGGAAGGAAAACUGAAUUCUUCUAUUGUUUUUUUUUCCAACUCCAAAUUUUGACGUUAAUGUACUUUUUUGGGCCUUUUCGUGAUCUUUGCUAUAUUGCGGAGCAAAAGUUAUAUAUUCGGACAUUGUUUUCGAAUAAUUUGCAUGUAUCAAAGCUCUUAUAAACAAGAUAGGGUAUUCCUACAUAGCUGGUGGGACCCACGGCAAAUGGAUCGUAAAGUCUUCAAAAAAGAAUAGAUACGAUUGCAUUGCAUGUAGUAACAGAUGCGAUCAUACCAGCACUAACGCACCAGAUCCCAUCAAAACUGUGCAGUUAAGCGUGCUUGGACGAGAGUAGUACUAGGAUGGGUGACCUCCCGGAAAGUCCUCGUGUUGGAUCCCUCUUUUCUUUUUUCGGUUUUUGUCCUCUUUUUUUUGUUAAGAAUGUAUGACUCUAUUACUUUUAGACAGUGAGGCCAAACUUCGGAUGUGAUACCUUUUCGGAAAGCCCAAAAAGAGCUCUCUGAUGAAUAAGGAAGGAAAAUGGAAUUCUUCUAUUGGUUUUUUUUUCUACUCCAAAUUUUGACGUUAAUGUACUUUUUUGGGCCUUUUCGUGAUCUUUGCUAUAUACGGAGCGAAAAUUAUAUGUUCGGACAGUGUUUUCGAAUAUUUUGCAUGUAUCAAAGCUCUUAUAAACAAGAUAGGGUAUUCCUACAUAGCUGGUGGGACCCAUGGCAAAUGGAUCGUAAAGUCUUCAAAAAAGAAUAGAUACGAUUGCAUUGCAUGUAGUAGCGGAUGCGAUCAUACCAGCACUAACGCACCGGAUCCCAUCAAAACUGUGCAGUUAAGCGUGUUUGGGCGAGAGUAGUACUAGGAUGGGUGACCUCCCGGAAAGUCCUCGUGUUGGAUCCCUCUUUUCUUUUUUCGGUUUUUGUCCUCUUUUUUUUGUUAAGAAUGUAUGACUCUAUUACUUUUAGACAGUGAGGCCAAACUUCGGAUGUGAUACCUUUUCGGAAAGCCCAAAAAGAGCUCUCUGAUGAAUAAGGAAGGAAAAUGGAAUUCUUCUAUUGGUUUUUUUUUCUACUCCAAAUUUUGACGUUAAUGUACUUUUUUGGGCCUUUUCGUGAUCUUUGCUAUAUACGGAGCGAAAAUUAUAUGUUCGGACAGUGUUUUCGAAUAUUUUGCAUGUAUCAAAGCUCUUAUAAACAAGAUAGGGUAUUCCUACAUAGCUGGUGGGACCCAYGGCAAAUGGAUCGUAAAGUCUUCAAAAAAGAAUAGAUACGAUUGCAUUGCAUGUAGUARCRGAUGCGAUCAUACCAGCACUAACGCACCRGAUCCCAUCAAAACUGUGCAGUUAAGCGUGUUUGGGCGAGAGUAGUACUAGGAUGGGUGACCUCCCGGAAAGUCCUCGUGUUGGAUCCCUCUUUUCUUUUUUCGGUUUUUGUCCUCUUUUUUUUGUUAAGAAUGUAUGACUCUAUUACUUUUAGACAGUGAGGCCAAACUUCGGAUGUGAUACCUUUUCGGAAAGCCCAAAAAGAGCUCUCUGAUGAAUAAGGAAGGAAAAUGGAAUUCUUCUAUUGGUUUUUUUUUCUACUCCAAAUUUUGACGUUAAUGUACUUUUUUGGGCCUUUUCGUGAUCUUUGCUAUAUACGGAGCGAAAAUUAUAUGUUCGGACAGUGUUUUCGAAUAUUUUGCAUGUAUCAAAGCUCUUAUAAACAAGAUAGGGUAUUCCUACAUAGCUGGUGGGACCCAUGGCAAAUGGAUCGUAAAGUCUUCAAAAAAGAAUAGAUACGAUUGCAUUGCAUGUAGUAGCGGAUGCGAUCAUACCAGCACUAAUGCACCGGAUCCCAUUAAAACUCCGCAGUUAAGCGUGCUUGGGCGAUAAUAGUACUAGGAUGGGUGACCUCCCGGAAAGUCCUCGUGUUGAAUCCCUCUUUUCUUUUUCGGUUUUUCUCUUCUUUUUUUUGUUAAAAAUGUAUGACUCCAUAACUUUUAGAUAGUGAGGCAAAACUUCGCAUGUGAUACCAUUUCGGAAAUCCUAAAGAGAGCUCUCCGAUGAAUGAGGAAGGAAAAUGUAAUUCUUCUAUUGGGUUUUUAUUCUACUCCUAAUUUUGACCUUAAUGUACUUUUUCGGGCCUUUUCGUGAUAUUUGCUAUAUUACAGGGCGAAAAUUAUAUGAUCGGACAUUGUUUUCGAAUAUUUUGCAUGUAUCAAAGCUCUUAUAAACAAGAUAUGGUAUUCCUACAUGGCUGGUAUGACCCACAGCAAAUGGAUCUUAAUUCUAGACUUUUUGUAAUCCCGAUUUCUCUUUAUCUAUUCAGUAUUCAGUAUUCAGCUUUUGUUCUUGAUUUCGUUUACUGUUGUUCAUUCUGUUAUCAUCAUGUUGUUACACUGUUGUUAUCAUGUCUUCCACCUGUUCAACGUUUAUGCUUUCUGUUAUGAUGUCUGAGUAGUGAAUAGGUUUUUGAGGAUGGCUUAGAGUAGUGUAGGAUUCUCAGUAUGCUAGGUGAUUGAGUAUUGAUUGAUAGAUCCCUUCUGGAUUAGUUGUUCUUAAUGCCUAUUGCUUUCUGAUCAACUGGAAUUUGAGCCCAGACAUUUCCGUGCCCAAAAGGUGUUCGAUGAAAUGUUUGAACCACUAAUUCCAGAGAUUCGUGACCCUGUACCAAGGUAUUGGUUGCAAGGAGCGUUUUGGCUUUAACUUGUUGAUUCGUAAUGCCUGUUAGGUUAGCUCUCGUCAAUGGUGAUUGAGUCUGGGACUAGGUUAACUUGAGGGUCUCAGUUGCGGUGGCACUUAGAUUUGGUUAAUGAACUUGUUAUCUAAGGUUAAUUUACUGAGCAUGUCAAUCACCUGUAAACUGAGAAAACGAAACUACUCAAUUACCCCAUCCUCAGGAAUUCUUUAUCUGAUUGAAUUCUUUGUUUACUCUACUGUUGUUUACUGCAUCUUGUUAUCUGUUGCUUAAUUUCUUCAGUUCUUUCUUGUUACUCGACCUCAUACUCGACCACCUAGUUGUUUGGCAACAGACUGUACAGUCGAGUAUCUGUGUUUCAUUUUCUGUCUGUUACUCGACCUGUCACUUGACCUCACCCAGUGUUCUGCAAAGAGCUGUGUUGGUCGAGUGUUUUACUGUUUCUGUUUGAUUUUCUGUUUUCUGCAUGUUCACUUAGAACUGCUAGAACACACCAAAACCUGUUAUUGCUUGGCUUGACUUAGUGACUUCUGAUCACAUCUUGAUUGUUAGCAUCACACCCAUUUGGAUUGACAACCUAAAAUACUACAACGAUAUGAUUGGUGUUUUAGGAUAAUUGACUAAAAAACCUAUUAUCAAUUUGGCGCCGUUGCCAAUUGGGUGUUUGUUUGUUACAUUUGAGAUUUCAGACUUGCUUAGAUCAAGUUCUUUUUCAAUUUUCUUUUCGGUUACUAACUGUGUGUUUUUCUUGUUGUCUUCUUGAUCCAGGUACACCUCUGCUGUAUGCGAAUUCGAUCAACAGGCAAUCAGAACCUCCUUUUCGACGACAACAUCAACCGCAUAGCUCGCGAACUCAGAAAAAGGAGAACCACAGUCACCCCUGUAUCUCAGCAACCACUCGAAAUGGCUGAAGAACAGAAUCAACAAAAUGGCCCUGCCAACAUUGGUGCUGGAGAUGCACCACGUGAUCACCGCCAGAGGAAAGGAAUUGCACCUCCUGCGAUCCAGAACAACAACUUCGAGAUUAAGAGUGGUCUCAUCUCGAUGAUUCAGGGGAACAAAUUCCAUGGUCUGCCAAUGGAGGAUCCACUCGACCACCUUGAUGAAUUCGAUAGGCUCUGCAACCUAACAAAGAUCAAUGGUGUCAGUGAAGACGGAUUCAAGCUCCGUUUGUUCCCAUUCUCCUUGGGCGACAAAGCACACAUCUGGGAGAAGAAUCUGCCCCAUGACUCAAUCACCACCUAGGAUGAUUGCAAGAAGGCUUUUCUAUCAAAGUUCUUCUCCAAUGCCAGAACUGCAAGACUCAGAAAUGAGAUUUCUGGUUUCUCACAGAAGACUGGUGAAAGCUUCUGUGAAGCAUGGGAGCGUUUCAAGGGGUACACCAACCAAUGCCCUCAUCAUGGCUUUACUAAAGCCUCUCUGCUCAGCACUCUUUACAGAGGAGUCCUACCACGCAUCAGAAUGCUUCUGGAUACAGCUAGCAAUGGGAAUUUCCAGAACAAGGAUGUUGAAGAAGGCUGGGAAUUGGUUGAGAACCUCGCUCAAUCAGAUGGCAAUUACAACGUGGACUGUGAUACGUCAGAGGAACAGCUGAUUCUGAUGACAAACACAGGAAGGAGAUCAAAGCGCUGAAUGACAAGCUGGACAUGAUUCUUCUUAGCCAGCAGAAGCAUGUGCACUUCCUUGUUGAUGACGAGCAAUUUCAAGUCCAAGAUGGGGAGGGUAACCAGUUGGAAGAAGUCAGCUACAUAAAACAACCAGGGUGGCUACAAAAGAUACAACAACUAUCGCUUGAAACUCUUUCCAAGAAAACUUAAAUCCAGAUGUUCUGGCCCAUUCUGUAUCACUGAGGUCCGUCCUUAUGGAGCAGUCACUCUAGCUGGUAAGAGUAGAGAUUUUACAGUAAAUGUUCAAAGGCUCAAGAAAUACUUAGCAGACCAAAUCCUUCCAGAGGUGACAUCGGUUCAUCUCCAAGAACCUCUUGAUGAUUAAAGGAGUAAAGGAGUCAAGCUAAUGACUUUAAACAAGCUCACUUGGGAGGAAGUCCCAUGAUUAUCUCUGUAAAUAAAAAAUUUCUUGUCUUGUUAUUUUUGAUUUGUUUUAAUUGUGUUUGUGGUUUUCAGAGAAAAGGGAACAACGUGGAGAUAGAGUAAAAAUUCAAAACUUUUACUCUACAGAAGACCUGGAGAUUGAGUGUAUAACCUGGUGGAGUACAAAAUUUAUAAAGUUUUCUGCUGCGUCUGGAGACACGGAAUUCGAGUACAUCAGUCGAGUAUACGUGAUGUUUAAAAUCCAAAAUUUUAAAAAAACAUCAUUGUACUCGACCAACAGGAGCUACAGAGACUUGCAAGGAUUUCUUGCAGUUUACAGUAGAUCUUCUGCAUAUUUUUUCAGUCAACAGAGUGUGGACCACGCGCUGAGGAUAAGCUGGAGAGAGAAUCUAAAACUCAACCUAGACCACUCAUUUAAAAACAUCACUCGACUUCACAAAAUCCACUCGACCUACCUCUUUUCAUUUCACCACCGACACUCUAAUCUCUCUACACCACGAAUCGCCGUCCAAAGAGAUACUCGAUCCUGACAAUAUCACUCGGCCUCCGAGAGUUACUCGACAUCCGCGCCGCCGUCACCAGAUCAUAUCUUCCGUCACUCGACCUCCGGGAACCACUCGACCUCUGCGCUUCCGUAAUCGAGUACUCCUCCUCGUUCACCGUCGAAGUCUCCGUGACCACUUGAUUACGACCAAGCUACUAGACCACAAACUAUCACUCGACCUCGAGUAUUCACUCGACCUCUGCAGCAGCAACUCGACCUCUUGUUCUUGAAAGCAACAGAGCCCUGAAGAACUGUCAGAGUGUUUACUCGACCUCUAGGCUUCACCGGCUGAACUCAACCUCCACAACUUACUCGAUCUCCUGAAGCAUACCCACUCGAAUCCGGAGACGAUACUCGAUCCAAAUCGUCUAAAGGGAACUCAAGAACAGCUCAGUCUACUCGAGUACAGAAUUGUACUCGACCAAUAGGGUUUAUUUCAUUGCCUAUUGAUAACAAUUUUGGUUUCAUUGCUAUCUUUGAGACUAACCUAUUGACUUUGAGCUUUGAGUUCUAAAUUUUUACAGGAGAAUCAUGAGCAAUUACAGUGGCAGUUCUUCUGUUGAUCCUGACUACAACAUGGAUGAGACAGAGUCAACAUCUUCAAGGCCAGAGAGAGAACAAAGAGAAUAUGAAAGCUUCAGAAGGAAAGCUGAGAUAGCCCGAGGGAAGAGAGCGAUCACUGAGAGGUAUGAGCUUAUAGACGAAGAUCAGGAAGACGAGUACAUGCCUGAACAGACUCGUAGAGCUACCAAACUUCUGCACAAGCCCGACGUAUUGCCUGCUGAGGAAUAUGUUAGGCUUUUCAAGCUGAACGAGUUCUGUAGCACGAGGUAUCCUUACUCGACCUCACUUGCACAACUCGGAUUGUUGGAAGAUGUUCAACACCUGUACCAGAGUUGUCAUCUGGACACUCUGAUGGCUUAUCCGUAUGUAGCGUAUGAAGAUGAGACAAUACAAUUUCUUUCCACGCUGCAAGUAGAGCUCUACCAAGGUAUGACCUCUGAUGAGUUGGAUUGUGAAGGAUUGGGAUUCUUGCAAUUUUCUGUGUAUGGCCAUGAGUAUAGGUUAUCAAUCAAGCGCUUGGAAGGAUUGUUUGGCUUCCCCAGUGGAACGGGAUCUAAGCCCAAGUAUGACAGAGAAGAGUUGAAAGACUUGUGGAUCACCAUUUGCAGCUCUGUACCGCUGAAUGCUUCUAGGUCAAAGAGCAAUCAGAUACGCAGCCCUGUCAUCAGGUACUUCCAGCGUUCUAUAGCCAAUGUACUCUACUCCCGAGAGAUCACAGGGACUGUUACUAACUCUGAUAUGGAGAUGAUCGCAAUGGCCCUCAAGGGAACUCUUCGCCAAACGAAGAAUGGUAUGUCUCUCCAAGGUGAAAUCAAUGACACACCUCUCUCUGUACUUCUUCUGAUCCAUCUGUGUGGAUACAAGAGUUGGGCUGUCAGCAAUAACCGCAAGAGAGCACGAGGCGCUCUGUGCAUAGGUGGUGUUGUGACACCGAUUCUGAUAGCUUGUGGAGUCCCAAUCAUAUCUGCCGGACUCGAGCCGCGAGCAAUGGAUAUCGAGCACCUACGUCACUGCGAAUUCCUAGAGUUUGCAAUGGUUGACGACUUCCACAGGUUCAGGUUUGAGCACUCUACAGACAGGAGAGCUAACAUCCUUCUCCCUAGCCCUGAGGUUACACGGAUAAUAGAGGGAGAUAAUAUUGAUUUUUGGCCUGAGGUUGGACGCCUCUACUAUGAGAACGCUCCGCCAUUCAAUGAGGAGGAUCUUCUAGAAGAAGCUGUUUCGGAUGGGAUGGAUGACGAUUGCGCAGUGGAGUUCGACACUAGCAUGUAUCACUUUGGUGAAGAUGUACCUCCAGCGAGGCAGAGCAAGAGCUUGACCGAAGCUCAUAAGAACAAAAGUAAAUUGCAGAAGUGGUGCAAGAAGCAGGACAAGUUGCUCGCCAAGUGUUUCAAGGCUAUCAAGCUUCUGACAGAUAAGCUGAGUUGUUCCUCCUCCACCACAGCUAUUCCACAGGUAUUGCCUCCUCUGGAGAUGCCAUCGAGGAGAUUUGAUAAGCCUGCGCACAAGCCUGAGCUUAGCGAGCAGAGAGUCUCUCAUGCCCCGGUUAGGCAUUUGUCAUUCGAGUCCCGGGAGCACAAGAGAAGAAGGAAGGCUACACUCACUUGAUCUAGGAGCAGAUCACACCUCAUUCACUCGAGGAGAUCACUUGACCGCGGUGCCGGCCGUAGCAGAAGGAGAGAGGUCGAGUAUCCUCAGAGCGGUGCUGGCCGCCACAGAGCUAAUGAGGUCGAGUACCCACCUGCUGGAGCUGAUACAGAACAAGGUGGUUCGUCUAUGGCCUGGGAGCAAUCACAGGCAGCCAUUGACGAGCAACUACGUUCAUUCUUCGAUUGAGGUACGCGCCUCACUUCACCAUUGUAUUAUAUCAUCUGUUGUGAUUUGUUUCUUCAUUUCGUUUCUGUGAUUGGAUUUGUCCUGAGUACUCUCUUCCAAGUUUAUUCGCAUAGUGGACUGUGUGAUUUAAGUUUGGGGGAGGGCUCAGGAAGUGUGUGUUAUAUUUUUGAGUCUGCAUUCAUCUAAGGGAUAGAAAAACCAAAAAAAAUUGAAAAAUUUUAGAAAAUGAUUUGACAAAAAAAGAGUGUUCAUGUAGUUGCAUUACAUUUAGGAUCGAGUCUAGAGUGUUUCAUUUAGGAUUGUUGCAUAUGCAUAGGGGAUGAUGAUGAGAUAGCCUUGUAAGCAUUUUGAUUCACAGGAUAAACUCAGUGCCCUCGUUGCUAGUUGUCUGUUGCGUAGUCAAUGAAUUUGAAAUAAAACUGAACCAUGCCUAGAUUGCUCUAUUCGACCACACUAUCAUGAUCUGAUACCAUUCCCUAUCAAUUUGAACCUGAAUCUGAUCUUUAAUUAUCAUGUCUGCAUCAAAUUUGAACUCAUGGAUACCCUAAAAUACUUGGAUUUUCUUAUUCAUUUUGAUCACUCUUGUUAAUCCAAGUAGCUGACUCUCCUUAUUAGAGCAGUUAACCCAAACCCAAACCUAGACUUUCUUUCAAGCCCUAUAUCACUUGUGAGUGUUUGUGAGGUCUUAUUCCGAUUAAGCUUGGUAGAAAGUGUUAGGUUCGUAACGACAGAGAUAGUGUCUCAUGUAGUUCUAGUUCGCAUUUUUUGGACUAGAUAGGACUAGGUGGGCGCUUAUACUUUGGGUUGGGAUGUGUUUAAAAGAAAAAAAAAAGGUUGAUUUAUUGAUAAGAAAAGGUAAAAGACUCUAGGUGAAGUAAGCUAAAGAAGCAGAAAAAGUCUACUAAAGGUUUUGGGAUUUGUAAAGAAAAGAAAGAGUUCUUGUUAGCUAUUGAAGAUGGGCAAAAGCCCUUGGUUUUAAAAUGUUAAAAACAGGAACCUUAGUUGUUAAAGAAAUCCAAAUCCGCUAGAUGUAUCAAAGUGUUGAGAAAGCUUCUCCUAGAGUUAAGAGAAAAGAAAAGAAUGAUUAGAAAAAGGGCUUAAAAGAUUCAUGAAUGCAAAGGGUAGAGUUUAGUUCUUGUAUUGGGAUUGGAGAUGGGAUUACCAUUAGAGCUUCAUUUGAUGUACUCUGGGUAGAUGGGAUCUUAUCUCUGUAUGCAUAGCUUGGGACUUACCUUUAGCAUUCUACUAAAGCUUAAUCAUUUUUUGAGAGAUCCCCUGUUAUUGAAGCCUAUUCUGUAAGGGACCAUCUUUGUCUCUUGACCUUUUACCUUAGCCAAAUGAGUUCUUUGAUGAUGCAUUGCUUGAUUCACGUUCCAGAACUAAUGAAUGUUAAAGGGAUUGGUAGAUUUGAAAACUUGUGUAGGUCGAGCAUAUGAGUCGGAUUGAUUGAUUGAUGAGGCAUAACUAACUUUUUUAAGUAGAAUUCGAUCUUGCAGCUUAGAACUUUCAACUUGGACAUUGAUUUCAUCUGGUCUAUCUGGUGCUUUGGCUCUGAGUCCCCGCUUUCAAACCUCACCUCCAGCUUGUUCUUGAUUGUUUGCUUGAGGCAAGCAAAGACUAAGUUUGGGGGAGUUGAUAAGUUUGUAUUUUGCAUGUUUUGAGCAUCCAUUUGUCAUCAUUUUAGCAUCAUAUCAUCACUGUUUUAUACCAUUUCACAUCAUUUGUCAUCACUUUGCAUGUUUAGGAUAGUUUUGCAUGCAUGUUGCAUAUUUGUGUUGUUUUCAGGUGAUUUGGAGCUGUCGACGAUCUAACUGGAAGAAGCGGACCUGAUCAUGACAAACCACUCGACCAAGAGGUCGAGUAGGAGCUUCAAGAUCUCAAGAGACCACUCGACCCCCAGGUCGAGUAGAAGACACCACCACUCUAUCACAUCACUCGACCCCCAGGUCGAGUGUCUUCAUCUCCAUCUCUUGACCACCACUCGAUCACAUCACUCGACCCCCAGAUGUAGUGACUUCAUCCCAUUGCUAGACCUCUACUCGACCUCAUCACUCUACAUGGAAGUCGAGUAUCACCAUCACACCACUCGAUUGCAUACUCGAUGACAAGCUUCAGAGCCUUCUUCAUUCCGCACUCAACCAGACACUCGAGCACAAGAAAGAAAAGAAGACUCCAGCUAUUCACUCGACCUCCCACUCGACCACAUGGGUCGAGUACAGUUCUUAAUCCGUCCCAAUACUUUGUCGUUUUGAGUAUUAGGGUUUCGGAAUAUUUGGCUAUAAGUAGCAUGUACUUCUCAUUUUCGCAGACAAGAAAUUUUUAUCUAGUUUUAUUCUGCAGACCUUGUGUUCUAGACUUUUUGUAAUCCGGAUUUCUCUUUAUCUAUUCAGUGUUCAGUAUUCAGCUUUUGUUCUUGAUUUCGUUUACUGUUGUUCAUUCUGUUAUCAUCCUACUGUUACACUGUUGUUGUCAUGUCUUCAACCUGUUCAACGUUUCUGCUUUCUAUUAUGAUGUCUGAGUAGUGAAUAGGUUUCUGAGGAUGGGUUAGAGUAGUGUAGAAUUCUCAGUAUGCUAGGUGAUUGAGUAUUGGUUGAUAGAUCCCUUCUGGAUUAGUUGUUCUUAAUGCCUAUUGCUUUCUGAUCAACUAGAAUUUGAGCCCAGACAUUUCCGCGCCCAAAAGGUGUUCGAUGAAAUGUCUGAACCACUAAUUCAAGAGAUUCGUGACCCAGUACCAAGGUAUUGGUUGCAGGGAGCGUUUUGGCUUUAACUUGUUGAUUCGUAAUGCCUGUUAGGUUAGCUCUCGUCAAUGGUGAUUGAAUCUGGAACUAGGUUAACUUGAGGGUCUCUGUUGCGGUGGCACUUAGAUUUGGUUAAUGAACUUGUUGUCUAGGGUUAAUUUACUGAGCAUGUCAAUCACCUGUAAACUGAGAAAACGAAACUACUCAAUUUCCCCAUCCUCGGGAAUUCUUUAUCUGAUUGAAUUCUUUGUUUACUAUAUUGUUGUUUACUGCAUCUUGUUAUCUGUUGCUUAAUUUCUGCAGUUCUUUCUUGUUACUCGACCUCAUACUCGACCACCUAGUUGUAUGGCAACAGACUGUGCAGUCGAGUAUCUGUGUUUCAUUUUUUGUCUGUUACUCGACCUCACCCAGUGCUCUGCAAAGAGCUGUGUUGGUCGAGUGUUUUUUACUGUUUCUGUUUCAUUUUCUGUUUUCUGCAUAUUCACUUAGGACUGCUAGAACACACCAAAACCUGUUAUUGCUUGGCUUGACUUAGUGACUUCUGAUCACAUCUUGAUUGUUAGCAUCACACCCAUUUGGAUUGACAACCUUCAGUACUACAACGAUAUGAUUGGUGUUUUAGGAUAAUUGACUAAAAAAACUAUUAUCAAUGCCCUUUGUGCUGACUAAUGCACCAGCCACCUUCCAAUCAGUGAUGAAUGAGCUGUUUAGACCAUAUAUGCGCCGGUUUGUUUUAGUGUUCUUUGACGACAUUCUGGUAUACAAUCUUGAUGUAGAGACACAUCUCAAACACUUAGAGGUUUUUCUUCAGAUUCGGUUACAGAACAGGUUCUACGCCAAUGAGAAGAAAUGCCACUUUGGUUGCACAAGGAUAUCAUAUUUGGGCCAUAUGAUCACUAGCGAAGGAGAUUCUACAGAUCCCACAAAGAUAGAAGCUAUGGUAAAGUGGCCACAGCCCAAGAAUAUAACAGAGCUGCGCGGGUUUUUAGGCCUUACUGGUUACUACAGAAGGUUUGUGGCAGGUUAUGGGAAGAUAGCAAAGCCACUGACAGAAUUACUCAAGAAAGGGAAAUUUGAAUGGUCUGUUGAAGGUACAAGUACUUUUGAGGCUUUAAAAGAGGCGGUUAUCUGUCUUCCAACGUUAGCAUUACCAGAUUUUGAGAAGCCAUUUGUGAUAGAGACUGAUGCUUUAGGCACGGGUAUAGGAGCAGUUCUAUCUCAGGAUAAGCGUCCCAUUGCGUUCAUUAGCCAAGGAUUCUCCAGUAAAGGCAGAGUUAAAUCAAUAUAUGAGAGGAAACUUUUGGCGAUUGUUUUUGUAGUGGAUAAGUGGAAGCACUACCUCACGGGAGAAAAGUCAUUAUCAGGACUGAUUAGAGAAGCCUGAAACACUUACUCAACCAGAAGGCAGUGUCAGCCAUACAACAAAGGUGGGCUUCGAAAUUAGUUAGCCUGGACUAUGAGAUUGAGUAUAAGCAUGACUCAGAAAAUAGAGUAGCAGACGCGCUAUCUAGACGUCCAGUAACCGAGCAAAUAAUGAACAUGCUGUUUCUAGCUUCGGCGACAGUGAACAAGGAAGAACUGUAGGCACAGGUACAAAAUGAUCCCAGCCUCAAACUCAUACAGGAACAACUGCUUAGAGGAGAGGAAGGGGAGAAAGGAUACAGUCUGGUAGCUAACACCUUAUAUAAGGAUGGCAGAAUUGUUAUGCCAGAAAGCUCUCCUUUUAUCCCAAAAUUGCUGGAACAGUUUCAUACUAGUCCCAUUGGAGGACAUGAAGGAGCGUUUAAGACAUUUAAAAGGUUAUCUAGUGAAGUUUACUGGAAAGGCAUGCGCAAGGACGUGGUGGAGUUCCUCAAGGGUUGUCAAGUUUGUCAACAAAACAAGUAUUCUACAUUGUCUCCAGCCGGCCUCUUGCAACCAUUACCCAUUCCGACUAAGGUAUGGUCCAAUAUCAGCCUUGAUUUCAUUGAAGGGCUUCCAGUUUCAAGUGGAUAUGAUGCGGUACUCGUCGUGGUAGAUCGGCUCAGCAAGUAUGGUCAUUUUAUUCCCCUUAAGCAUCCUUACACAGCUAAAUCAGUAGUAGAAGUGUUUAUUAAAGAGAUUGUUAGACUUCAUGGAUUUCUAGAGAGUAUGGUUUCAGAUCGGGACAAGAUUUUUGUCAGUCACUUUUGGUCUGCUCUUUUCAAGUCCCAAGGAACACAUCUGGCUAAGAGCACAGCAUACCACCCACAGUCGGAUGGCCAAACCGAGGUCCUAAACAGAUGCUUAGAGACUUACCUUCGCUGUUUUGUUAAUGGAAAGCCAAAAUCUUGGGCUCAAUUGUUUUCCUGGGCAGAAUACUGGUCUAACACUUCGUUUCAUUCUGCCAUCAAGAUGACUCCAUUUCAGGCCUUGUACGGAAGAGAACCACCGAAACUGUUACGAUUUGGUGACAUCCCAAAAGCUAACGCGGUGGUAGAGGAGAUGCUACAAGAAAGGGACAGAGUGGUCACGAUGCUGAGAGAAAAUCUGCAGGCAGCUCAAGCCCGAAUGCAAAAAUCAGCUAACAAGCAUAGAAGGGAGCUGGAAUUCAUAGUUGGCGAUUGGGUUUAUCUAAAGUUAAGACCUUACAGGCAGGUAACCGUGGCACAGCGUCGCAAUGAGAAGCUAUCUCCCAGAUUUUUUGGUCCUUAUCAGAUUCUUCAAAAAAUAGGUGCAGUAGCCUACAAACUUCAGUUACCAAGCAGCAUCUCCAUACACCCGGUCUUCCAUAUAUCACAGCUGAAGCAUGCGCAACCAAGUUCAGCCCAAGCUCAACCUCUCCCAGCGAUUAUGACUUCUAACUUGGAGUGGGAACCUGAACCUGAAGAUGUACUAGAGAUAAGGGAAAGCAGCACGGGCGCAGAUACUGAGUUAUUGAUUAAAUGGAGAGGUCUGCCAGAGUGUGAGAAUACAUGGGAGCCAAUGAAAGUCAUCAGGCAGCAGUUCCCAGCAUUUCACCUUGAGGACAAGGUGGCUUCGUUACGGGGGAGUAAUGAUAAGGUGGAGACUAUGGAAGGAGAAGCAAGGAAAGGAGAUAGAGCAACAAGGAAGAGGAUUCAAAGAAGAUCUUUGACCCAAGUGGCUAAAGAGAGUUUAAGAAAGUGCAAGGAAACACUCUGUCGCAUCCAGAGGCUUUGAAGUGUCAAAGAAAUAAGUAUGCUAUAGUUCAUAUUAACUGUAUGUUGUUUAAGUAAGAGUCUGAGAGAGUGUGUGUAGUUUUCCAUAGGGAAACUACUAUAAAUGUUGAACUCUACUUUAGGGUUAAGGUAUCAAAGUAUUAAUCAAACUUCCUAUUAUUACUCUCCUCUAUCCUUUAUCCACUCUAUCUUCUUCUUCUUCUUCAUCCGAUUCUAUCUCUUUCUGUUCUUAAUCUUCUUGAUAGGUUCACCACUUAUCACUCGACUUCCUUGUAGAGUGGUGUGAUCGAGUGAUGGUCAAGUGUGGAGGUGAUGAUACUCGACCAGGUGGUAGAGUGAUCGAGUGAAGGUGAUGAAGGUAGUCGACCAUGUGGUAGAGUAGUGUGAUCGAGUGAUGGUCAGGUGGUGGAGGUUAUGAGACUCGACCAGGGGGUCGAGUGGUGAGGUGAAGUGGUGAAGUCCUCUACUCGACCAGGGGGUCGAGUGGUCUGUUGAGGUCGUGAAGCAUCUACUCGACCUGGGGGUCGAGUGGUUUGACAUGAUCAGGAACGCUUCUUCCAAUUAGCUCGUCAACAGCUCCAAAUCACCUGAAAACAACACAAAUAUGCAACAUGCAUGCAAAACUAUCCUAAACAUGCAAAGUGAUGACAAAUGAUAUAAAACAAUGAUGAUAUGAUGAUAAAGUGAUGACAAAUGGAUGCUCAAAACAGGCAAAAUGCACACUUAUCAACUCCCCCAAACUUAGUCUUUGCUUGCCCUCAAGCAAACAAUUAAGAACAAGUAGGAGGUGAGAGUUGAAGGCGGGGACUUUGAGCCAAAGCACCAGAUAAAUCAGAUGAAAUCAAUGUCCAAGUUGAUAGUUCUAAGCUGCGAUAUGAUUGAAUUCUACUCAAAAACGUUAGCUAUGCCUUGUUAUCAAUCAAUCCGACUCUUAUGCUCAGCCUACACAUGUUUUCAAAUCUACCAAUCCCUUUAACAUUCAUUAGUUAUGGAACGUGAAUCAAGCAAUGCAUCUAUCAAUGAACUCAUUUGGCUAAGGUAAAGGUCAAGUGACAAAGAUGGCCCCUUACAGAAUAGGCUUCAGCAAAAGGGGAUCUCUCAAAAAAUGAUUAAGCUUUAGUAGAAUGCUAAAGGUAAGUCCCAAGCUAUGCAUACAGAGAUAAGAUCCCAUCUACCAAGAGUAUAACCAAUGAAGCUCUAAUGGUAAUCCCAUCUCCAAUCCCAAUAUAAGAACUUAACUCUACCCUUUGCAUUCAUGAAUCUUUUAACCCCUUUUUCUAAUCAUUCUUUUCUUUUCUCUUAACUCUAGGAGAAGCUUUCUCAACACUCUGAUACAUCUAGCGGAUUUGUAUUUCUUUAACAACUAAGGAUCCUCUUUUCAAUUUUUAAAACCGAGGACUUUUGCCCUUCUUCAUUAGCUGACAAGAACCCUUUUCUUUUCUUUACAAAUCCCAAAACCUUUACUAGACUUUUUCUACUUCUUUAGCUUACUUCACCUAGAGCCUUUUACCUUUUCUCAUCAAUGAAUCAACUCUUUUGUUUUUUCUUUUUCUUUUAGACACAUCCCAACCCAAAGUAUAAGCACCCACCUAGUCCUAUCUAGUCCGAAAAAUGCGAACUAGAACUACAUGAGACAUUAUCUCUGUCGUUACAAACCUAACACUUUCUACCAAGCUUAAUCGAAAUAAGACCUCAGAAACACUCACAAGUGAUAUAAGGCUUGAAAGAAAGUCUAGAUUUUGGUUCGGGUUAACUGCUCUAAUAAGGAGAGUCAACUACUUGGAUUAACAAGAGUGAUCAAAAUGAAUAAGAAAAUCCAAGUAUUUUAGGGUAUCCAUGAGUUCAAAUUUGAUGCAGACAUGAUAAUUAAAGAUCAGAUUCAGGUUCAAAUUGAUAGGGAAUGGUAUCAGAUCAUGACAGUGUGGUCGAGUAGAGGAAUCUAGGCAUGGUUCGGUUUUACUUCAAUUUCAUUGACUACGCAAAAGACAACUAGCAACGAGGGCACUGAGUUUAUCCAGUGAACCAAAAUGCUUACAAGGCUAUCUCAUCAUUAUUCCCUAUGCAUAUGCAACAAUCCUAAAUGAAACACUCUAUACUCGAUCCUAAAUGUAAUGCAACUACAUGAACACUCUUUUUUUUUGUGAAAUCAUUUUCUGAAAUUUUUCAAUUUUUUUUUGGUUUUUUUAUGCCUUAGAUGAAUGCAGACUCAAGAGUAUAAACAAUGCAACACACACUUCAUGAGCACUCCCCCAAACUAAUCUUGGAAGAGAGUAACUCAGGACAAAUCCAAUCACAGAAACAAAAUAAAGAACAAAUCACAAAAGAUGAUAUAAUACAAUGGUGAAGUGAGGCGCUUACCUCAAUCAAAGAAUGAACGAAGUUGGUCGUCAAUGGCUGCCUGUGAUUGCUCCCAAGCCAUAGACGAGCCACCCUGUUCUGUAUCAGCUCCAGCAGGUGGGUACUCGACCUCAUCAGCUCUGUGGAUACUCGACCUCUCUUCCUCUGCUGCGGCCAGCACCGUGGUCGAGUGAUCUCCUCGAGUGAAUUAGGCAUGAUCUACUGCUAGAGCGAACGAGUGUAGCCUUCCUUCUUCACUUGUGCUCCCGGGACUCGAAUGACGAAUGCCUAGCAGGGACAUGUGAGACUCUCUGCUCACUAAGCUCAGGUCUGUGCUCAGGCUCAUCAAAUCUCCUCAAUGGCAUAUCUAGAGGAGGCUGUCCCUGUGGAAUAGCUGUAGUAGAAGAGGAACAGCUCAGUUAAUCUAUCAGAAACUUGAUAGUCUUAAAGCACUUGGCGAGCCGCUUGUCCUGCUUCUUGCAACACUUCUGCAGCUUAUUGUUGUUCCUAUGAGCUUCACUCAAGCUCUUGCUCUCCCUCGCCAGAGGUACAUGUUCAUCAAAAUGAUACAUGCUAGUGUCGAACUCCACUGCUCUGUCUUCAUCCAUCCCAUCCUAAGCAGCUUCUUCUAUAAGAUCAUCCUCAUCCAAUGGCGGAGCGUUCUCAUAGUAGAGGUUUCCAAGCUCAGGCCGAAAAUCAAUGUUAUCUCCCUCUAUUAUCCGUGUAACCUUAGGGCUGGGGAGAAGGAUGCUAGCUCUCUUAUCCGUAGAGUGCUUAAACCUAAAACAGUGCAUGUCGCCAACCAUUCCGAACUUCAGGACGUAGGAUGCUAACUCCAGGACUUCGCAGUGACGUAGAUGCUUGAUAUCAAUUGCCCGUGGCUCGAGUCCAUCAGAUGUGAUUGGGACUCCACAAGCAAUCAGAAUCGGUGUCACAACACCGACUAUGCAAAGAGCGCCUCGUGCUCUCUUGUGAUUAUUGCUGACAGCCCAGCUCUUGUAUCCACACAGGUGGAUUAGAAGAAGUACAGAGAAAGGUGUGUCAUUGAUUUCACAGAUAUGUUGUUCUUAGUUUGGUAGAGAGUGCCUUUGAGAGCAUAUAGCGAUCAUCUCCAUAUCAGAAUUGGUAACAGUCCCUGUGAUCUCUCUGGAGUAGAGGACAUUGGCUAUAGAACGCUGGAAGUACCUGAUGACAGGGCUGCGUAUCUGAUUGCUCUUUAACCUGGAAGAAUUUAGCGGUACAGAGCUGCCAAUGGUGAUCCAUAAGUCUUUCAACUCUUCUCUGUCAUACUUGGGCUUAGUACCCGUUCCACUGGGGAAACCAAAAAGUCCUUCCAAGCGUUUGAUUGAUAACCUAUACUCAUGACCAUACACAGAGAAUCUCAAGAAUCCCAAUCCUUCGCAAUCCAACUCAUCAGAGGUCAUACCUUGGUAAAGCUCCACUUGCCGUGUGGAGAGGAAUUGAAUUGUCUCUUCUUCAUAUGCUACAUACGGAUAAGCCAUCAGAGUGUCCACAUGACUACUCUGGUACAGGUGUUGAACAUCUUCCAACAAUCCAAGUUAUGCAAGUGUGGUCGAGCAUGGAUACCUUGUGCUACAGAACUCAUUUAGUUUGAAGAGUCUGAUAUACUCCUCAGCAGGUAAUACAUCUGGUUUGUGAAGAAGCUUUGUGGCUCUACUAGUAUGCUCAAGCAUGUACUCGUCUUCUAGAUCCUCAUCUAUAAGCUCGUACCUCUCUGUCAUUGCUCUCUUCCCUCGAGCUAUCUCAGCUUUUCUUCUGAAGCUAUCAAAUUCUAUCUUUUCUCUCUCUGGCCUUGAAGAUGACGACUAUGUCUCAUCCAUGUUGUAGUCAGGAUCAACUGAAGAAUUGCCACUGUAAUUACUCAUGAUUCUCUUGUAGAAGAUUUAGAACUCAAAACUCCAAUAUCAAUAGGAUAGUCUCAAAGAGAACAAUCAAACCAAAAUUGUUAACAACAGACAAUAUAGACCCAAACGGUCAAGUACAAUCAAAUACUCAAGUAAGCUUAACUUUUUCCAAGUUUCUCUUUCACGGGUUGAAUCGAGUGGCUCAGAUAUAAGAGGUCGAGUAAUGUUGAGGAAGUAGUGUGCAGAUGGUGAAUCAGGUUGGUCGAGUAUACCAUAGGUGAGCCAAAAUUGGCAGGGACGAAACCUCAAAUCGACGAUCGAGUACAGUGGAUGUAAUCGAGUAGCUCUUGAGACGACGACGGUAAACGAGGUGGAGACUCGACUUAGACGGGAAGUGACGGUUAACGGCGAAGUGAAGUGGUUGAGUGAUUCAAGGUGAAACGUAAUCGGUGGUCGAGUGGGACUUUGAACUCGACUGCGGCGGCUGUAAUUCUUUCCAGCUGCGGUCGAGUGGUUUCGGCGAGGUCGAGCGUGGCUUGGUUUCAGAGGUCAAGUUGAUUCUUGCGAUCGAGUGGUGGAAAACUGAAUAGAGGUUGGUCGAGUGAAAUUUCAAAAGCAGUGGUGGAGAUUGAGUUUGAGAUUCUCUCUCCAUCUUAUCCUCAGCGCGUGGUCCACACUCUGUUGAUUGGGAAAACUGCAGGAAAUCUACAGUAAACUUGAUUAACUCCCUGUAAGGCUCUGUAGCUUCUGUUGGUCGAGUAAUAUGAUGAUUUAAAAUUUUUUGGUUUUAAACAUCACUCAUACUCGACCAAUGUACUCGAGUGCAAGGUCUCCAUGUGCAACAGAAAAUUUACAAAAUUUUGCACUCCAACGGGCUAUACACUCGAUCUCCAGGUCUUUUGUAAAGUAAAAGUUUUGAAUUUUUACUCUAUCUCCACCUUGUUCCUUUGUUCCUGAGAACCACAAACACAACUAAGACAAAUCAAAAAUAACAACAAAAGAAAAAUUUAUUUACAGAGAUAGUCAUGGGACCUUCCUCCCAAGUGAGCUUGUUUAAAGUCUCUAGCUUGACUGCUCACACUUAUCAAGAAGAAAAUGAAUGAUAGAGAGGGUCUGCAUAGUCCUCUCGGAUAUCAUCAUCAUACUCAGCGUCCUCCCUGGAGAGGUCUGCAGCAGAACACUCAAUUCCCCUUUCUUCAAAACAGGCUUCUUUCUCUUCUAGAGGGUAAUCUAUCUCUUCAGACCAUCUUGAAGUGAACCUUUUUCUCGGGAUAAUGUCAAUUCCGCCUUUAGGUUGAGCUUUCUUCUGCAUCUGAUUCAGCUUACUCUUAAGCUCCUCAAUAGUGUGGGCUAGCUUCCCUAUAGUUUCAUCUUGCUUAUCAGACCUCUUUUUAAGCUCCCUUACUUUUUCAGUCUCAUACGCUUCUCUUGGGAUCACUCUAUCGUCUCCAGAGGGUUUUUCAUAUUCUUUUGACUCUUCUGGAGUUUUGUUGAUGUCAAAUUGCAACUUGAUGUGCUUUCCAAGGUUGAGACUUAUUUUUUCUUCCCUGACAUCUAUCACUGCUCCCACUGAGGCUAAGAAGGGUCUUCCCAGGAUUAAGGGAUCCUUAUGCUCUUCUUCCAUAUCCAGCACCACGAAGUUUGUAGGCACUUCCACUCCAUUAAUCAUGACUGGUAGAUCUUUCAACAUGUCGGAGGGUUUUCUUGAAGACCUAUCUGCAAGGAUCAAAGUCAGGUCACAAGGCCUGUACUAAAUAAAUUCCAACCUUCUUGCCACAGAGAGUGACAUUAAGGUGACAGAGGCUCCGAGAUCGCACAGGCAAUCGCUGAAAGCUAAUUCCCCAAUUGAACAUGGUAGAGUAGAAUAUCCAGGAUCUUCUAACUUUUCUUGAACAAUCCUCUUAUCAGCAACUCGAGAUGGAGUAGCGUCACUAUCAUCAUCUGAAUCGUGAUACAUCUUAAUCCUUUCCAGUAUCAGAUUUCUCACAUCUUUGUGAGGAUCAGGAAUCAGGUUGAGAACUUCCAUCAGUGGCAUCACUGUUUCAUUCUCGUCUAGCUGUUUCGCUGCAACAGACUUGUAUCUCUCCAUCCAUGCUUUCCUGAAUUUCAUGGAAGAGCAUGUGAGGGUAAUGGAGUAGGUUUGAAUCGUUUUACCAUUCUCUCGAUUAUGGCUGCUUUCUCUUCCGAGGUGGAUUAAAUGAGAUGGUGAGAACCAGCAGAAUGGUUGAAUUCUACAACAGAGACCUCAAUCUUGGUUGAAGGCUCCCCUUCUUGAACAUCACUGUCCCCAGUGAUUAAGUCAGGGACAGGUCGAGUUGGCUGCUCUCGAUCCUGGCAGAUAGUGAUGGCGUGAGCAGUUGCAUACUCCUUUGGAUUUUGUAUUGACUUCCCAGGAAGUCCUGUAACUUUAGGACCAGAGGUAGAUGUUGAUUGUCCUUCCAAGUAUCUGACUUUGGUAUUCAAUGUCUCCACUUUGGCAUUCAGGUCAUUGUAGCUAUAGUCCAGCUUAUGGUGCAAUUCAAAUAACUUCUUAGCAAUUUUCAUGGAGCUAGAUGCUUGUCCCUGUAGCAGCUGUUGUACCAUCUGUUUCAUUUCGGGAUCAGGAGCUGCAAGACCUUGGUUUUGCUGAGGUGCAAACCCAGGUGGUGGUUGCGGCUGGUAGUUCCCCUGAAAUUGUUGGGAACAAAUCCUUGAUUGUAAGGAACAAAAGGUUUGUUCUGACCUUGUUGUUGAUGUGGAGGAUACACCUGAUCCUGAGGAUUCGCAACGUUGGUGCUCCGGUAGGAGAGGUUGGGGUUGUUGGUUUUGAAGUUGUUAUACCCUUUGUAGCCACCCUGGUUGUUGUUGAUGUAGCUGACCUCUUCCAACUGGUUACCCUCCCCAUCUUGGACUUGAUACUGCUCGUCAUCAACAAGGAAGUGCACAUGCUUCUACUGGCUAAGAAGAAUCCUUUCCAGCUUGUCGUUCAGCGCUUUGAUCUCCUUCUUGUGUUUGUCAUCAGAGUCAGCUGUGCUUCUGAUGGUCCUAUCGUAGUCCUCAUUGUAAUUACCAUCUAAUUGAGCUAGGUUCUCAACCAAUUCCCAGCCUUCUUCAACAUCCUUGUUCUGGAAAUUCCCAUUGUUGGCGGUAUCCAGAAGCAUUCUGAUGCGUGGUAAAACGCCUAUCUAUGGAGUGCUUAGCAGAGAGGCUUUCGUGAAGCAAUGAUGAGGGCAUUGGUUGAUGUAACCUCUGAAACGCUCCCAUGCUUCAUAGAAGCUUUCACCCGUCUUCUGUGAAAAAUCAGAAAUCUUAUUUCUGAGUUUUGCAGUUCUGGCGUUGGAGAAGAACUUUGAUAGAAAGUCCUGUGGAGUAAACAAUAAAAUCAAUCAGAUAAAGAAUUCCCGAGGAUGGGGUAAUUGAGUAGUUUCGUUUCCUCAGUUAACAGGUGACUGACAUGCUCAAUAAAUUAUCCCUAGACAACAAGUUCAUUAACCAAAUCUAAGUGCCACCGCAACAAAGACCCUCAAGUUAACCUAGUCCCAGACUCAAUCACCAUUGACGAGAGCUAACCUAACAGGCAUUACGAAUCAACAAGUUAAAGCCAAAACGCUCCCUACAACCAAUACCUUGGUACAGAGCCACAAAUCUCUGGAAUUAGUGGUUCAGACAUUUCAUCGAACACCUUUUGGGCGCAGAAAUGUCUGGGCUCAAAUUCUAGUUGAUUAGAAAGCAAUAGGGAUUAAGAACAACUAAUCCAGAAGGGAUCUAUCAAUCAAUACUCAACCACCUAGCAAACUGAGAAUUCUACACUACUCUAAUCCAUCCUCAGAAACCUAUUCACUACUCAGACAUCAUUAUAGAGAACAUAAACGUUGAACAGGAUGAAAACAUGAUAACAAUAAUAUAAUAGCAAAACGAUAACAGGAUGAACAACAAUAAACGAAAUCAAGAACAAAUACUGAAUACUGAGUAGAUAAAGAGAAAUCCGGAUUACAAAAGGUCUAGAACACAGUGUCUGCGGAAUAAAACUAGAUAAAAACCUCUUCUCGAAAAUGUAAAGUACAUGCUUAUUAUAGCAAAAUAUUCUGAAACUCUAAUACUCAAAAUGACGCAGUAUUGGGACGGAUUAAGAACUGUACUCGACCCUGAUGGUCGAGUGAGAGGUCGAGUGAUAUGCUGGAGUCUUCUAUUCUUCCUUGUGCUCGAGUGUCUAGUUGAGUGCAGAAAUGAAGAAGACUCUGAAGCUCGCCAUAGAGUAUGUAGUCGAGUGGUGGUGGUGAAGACACUCGACCUGGGGGUCGAGUGAUGUGAUCGAGUGACUGGUCAGGUUGUGGAGGUGAAUACACUCGACCAGGUGGUCGAGUGAGGUGAUCAAGUAUCUCUCGUGGUGGUACUCGGCCAGGGGGUCGAGUGAUGAGAUGAAAUUGUGAAGUCCCCUACUCAGCCAGGGGGUCGAGUGGUCUGUUGAGGUCUUGAAGCUUCUACUCGACCUCGGGGUCUAGUGGUUUGACAUGAUCAGGUCCGCUUCUUCCAGUUAGCUCGUCAACAGCUCCAAAUCACCUGAAAUCAACACAAAUAUGCAACAUGCAUGCAAACCUAUCCUAAACAUGCAAAGUGAUGACAAAUGAUGAGAAAUGGUAUUAUACAGUGAUGAUAUGGUGCUUAAGUGAUGACAAAUGGAUGCUCAAAACAUGCAAAAUACACACUUAUUAACUCCCUAAUAAUAUGUUUUUAGUCAAUUAUCCUUAAACACCAAUCAUGUCUUUGUAGUAUUUUAGGUGUCAAUCCAAAUGGGUGUGAUGCAAACAGAUGAGAUGUGAUCAGAAGUCACUAAGUCAAGCCAAGCAAUAACAGUAUUGGGGUUUCUUACAGUCCUAAGUGAACAUGCAGAAAACAGAAACAAUAAUAGAAUUACUAAAAUCACCCGACCACAACAGGCUGAUGCAAGAAGUAGGAUGUGAUCGAGUAAGAGGCAGGAUAUGAAACAAAUAUACUCGAUUGCACAGUCUAUUGCCAGACACUGGGUCUGGUCGAGUAUACAUGUCGAGUAACAGACAGGAAAUGAGACAGCUGUACUCGAUUGCACAGUCUGUUGCCAGACACUGGGUGUGGUCAAGUAAGUUGGUCGAGUAAUUGCAAAAACUAAGAAACAGGCAAUGAAAACGAUUAAGUGAUAACAAUAAAACGGAGAAAUCAGAUAGACGAGAAAUUCCUAAGGAUGGGGUAAUCAAGUAGAGUUGUAUCCUAGCCUAUUCGAAUGGUUAACAAGCGCAAUCAAGCUAUCCCUAGACUGAUCAAUUAACUCCCGUGAUAGAAAUCCUCAAGCAAAGCUAGCCCAGACUAAUUUCUAUUAACGGAAUCUAACUAUGCAGGCAAUAAGAACAGACUGAUAAAGUCAAUAAACGCUCUAAUCGGCCAAUCCCUUGGGAUAGAGACGAAUAUCUCAGGAACUAGUCGAUCGAACAUUCCAUCGAACACCUUCUGGGUGCGGGAAUGCUUUGCUUGAAUUCCAGUUGAUCAGAAAGAAAUAAGCAGUAAACGCAACUAGUCCUGAAGGGAUUCAAUCAAUUCUAAAAUUUAACCAUUCUACAGACUACGGAUUCCACAAAUACUCUAUCCCAUCCCUAAGAAUUCUAAGUCACUACUCAGACAACAUGCUCAAAGACAUAAACGCAGAUAAAUGAUAAUAUUGCAUAAGUAAAGAGAUAAAGAGUAGAGAAACAAGAUGACAGAUGAAAUCAAAUGCGGAAUCUGAAUAACUUGGAAAAAUCUCGAAUUACUGGUUGCAGAAGCAAAAGCGGCACAGCAGAGUAAAACAGAAAAUAAAACUGAAGCAAAAACUCAAUGUCGACUAGAUGUCUCAGGACAGAACCCUAAGACAUCUAUUUAUACAAAACGAAAUAAAAUGAUAGUAGACGGGCCAAUAACCUAAUCGCCCGGCCCAUAGAAUGAUAAUGGGCCGAGAUGGGCUUCGUGAUCCGAUGGAGGUCUAGGCCGCUUCUAAACACUUUGUCUUCUCCUCUUCUCUUCCUUGUGCUCAGCUUGUCUGGUUGAGUGCGGAUUUGAUUAGACUAUAAAGACGUGAUCGAGUGUCCGGUCGAGUGAUGGUGAUGGUGGUGAGUGAUGAUACUCGACCAGGGGGUCGAGUAACUUGGUAGAGUGAAUGGCUGAGUGUGGUCAGGUUGUGUGGCGAAGUGAUAUUCGACCAGGGGGUCGAGUGGCGUCAUCGAGUGGCCUGAGCUGAGGAUACUCGACCAGGGGGUUGAGUAGGUGGGAAGAAUAGCUCCAAAGUUACUCGACUUGGGGGUAGAGUAUAGUGCUGGAUGCACACGACCUGGUGGUCGAGUAUGUCUUCUGGUUCUGGCUCGUUUCUUCAAAUUUGCUCGCAAACAGCUCCAAAUCAUCUGAAAACAACUCAGAAAUGCAAUAUGUAUGCAAAGCUAUCCUAAUCAUGCAAAGUAUGCAAGAAUGAUGAGAAAUGAUAUAAAACAGUGAUGAAUGAUACAAAACUGGACUCAAAACGAUGAUGAAUGGACACUGAAAACAUGCAAAUUAUAGACAUAUCAACUCCCCCAAACUUAGUCUUUGCUUGCCCUCAAGCUAAUAAGAAGACAUAGUUGAAGGAGAGGUUUGAAGGCGGGGACUCAGAACCAAAGCAUAUGAUAGAGCGAAUAAAAUCAAUGUCCAAGUUGGUAGUUCUAAGAUGCGAUAUGAUUGAAUUUUACUCAAAAACGUUAGCCAUGCCUUGUUAUCAAUCAAUCCGUCUCUUAUACUCGACCUACACAUGUUUUCAAAUCUACCAAUCCCUUUAACAUUCAUUAGUUCUGGAACGUGAAUCAAGCAAUGCAUCAUCAAUGAACUCAUUUGGCUAAGGUGAAGGUCAGGAGACAAAGAUGGUCCCUCACAAAAUAGGCUUAAGUACCAAGGGAUCUCUCAAGAAUGAUUGAGCUUUAGUAGAAUGCUUAAGGUAAGUCCCAAGUUAUGCAUAUAGAGAUAAGAUCGCAUCUACCCAGAGUAUAACAAUGAAGCUCUAAUGGUAAUCCCAACUCCAGUCCCAACUUAACUCUACCCUUUGCACUCAUGAAUCUUUCAAACUUUUUUUUUUCUUUUUCAAAUCAUUCUUUUCUUUUCUCUUAACUCUAAGAGAAGCUUUCUCAACACUCUGACACAUCUAGCGGAUUUGGAUUUCUUUAACAACUAAGGUUCCUGUUUUUAAUCUUUAAAACCAAAGGCUUUUAACCCUUCUUCUUUAGCUAACAAGAACCUCAUUCUUUUCUUUAACAUUCCCAAAACCUUUACUAGAUUUUUUUUCUAACUUCUUUUAGCUUACUUCCCCUAGAAUUCUUUCCCUUUCCUUAUCAACAAUGAAUUCACCCUUUUCUUUUAAACACAUCCCAACCCGUGAUAUAAGCGCCCACCUAGUCCUAUCCAGUCCGAAAACGCGAACUAGAACUACAUGAGACACUAUCUCUGUCGUUACGAACCUAACACUUUCUACCAAGCUCAAUUGAAAUAAGACCUCACAAACACUCACAAGUGAUAUAGGGCUCGAAAGAAAGUUUAGGUUUUGGUUCGGGUUAACUGCUCUAAUAAGGAGAGUCAGCUACUUGGACUAACAAGAGUGGUUAAAAUGAGUAAGAAAAUCCAAGUAUUUUAGGGUAUCCAUGAGUUCAAAUUCGAUGCCAAGACAUGAUAAUUCUAAAUCAGAUUCAAGUUCAAAUUGAUAGGGAAUGGUAUCAGAUCCAAACAGUGUGGUCGAGUAGAGCAAUCUAGGCAUGGUGCAGUUUUACUUCAAUUUCAAUGACUACGCAUCAGACAACUAACAACGAGGGCACUGAGCUUAUCUGGUGAACCAAAAUGCUUACAAGGCUAUCUCAUCAUUAUCCCCUAUGCAUAUGCAACAAUCCUAAACGAAACACUCUAGACUCGUUCCUAAAUGCAAUGCAACUACAUGAGCACUCUAUUUUUGUGAAAUCAUUUUCUGAAAUUUUUCAAUUUUUUUGUUUUUUCCUAUGCCUUAGAUGAAUGCAGACUCAAGAUUAUAUACAAUGCAACACACAUUGCCUGAGCCCUCCCCCAAACUUAAAUCACACAGUCCACUGUGUGACCAAAUUUGGAAGAGAGUACUCAGGACAAAACACAUCACAGAAACAAAAUAAAAACAAGAGAUGGUAUAUUACAAUGGUGGAGUGAGGUGCAUACCUCAGUGGAAGAAGGAGCAGAGUUGGUCGUCAAUAGCUGCCUGUGAUUGCUCCCAGGCCAUCGAAGAAUCUCCCAGUUGUGUCUCAGCUUCCCCCUAGGGGUACUCGACCUCUGCUCCUUCGUCGCGGCCCGCACCGCUCUGAUGAUACUCGACCUCUCUUCUUCUGCUGCGGCCAGCACCGUGGUCGAGUGAUUUACUGACAUGGAGAAGUUUUGAUUGCACCACUCGCUAUACUCGAUCACAUCGUCAUUCAGUCCCUGUAGGGUGUGGUCGAGUGAUUUCAUGGGGUGGAGAAACCAGAACAAUGUCGAGUAUCCUUGAUUGCUCUUUGGUCGAGUGUAUUGCUGUUCCCUCAAAGCCAGAAUCUAUUUCCGUCAGCUCUUCAUACUUAUCGCCUGAAAACACUAACAAGAUGCAUCAAAAACAACAAGAAAAAUUAAAGAUAUGUACAAAGAUAGGCAUGGGACUUCCUCCCAAGUGAGCUUGUUUUAGGUCUCUAGCUUGACUCUUCAUACUCAUUAGGCGUUUAUAGGCUCAUCCAAAGGAACAGAAGUUCCUUCUGGAAUAAACUGAUCUAUCAUGUAUUUCUUGAGCCGUUGUCCAUUGACUGUGAAGUCUCCAUUCUUUCCAGCUAGAGUGAUAGCACCAUAAGGUCGGACUGCAGUAACAGAGAAAGGACCAGACCAUCUAGACUUGAGCUUGCCUGGAAAAAGCCUCAAGCGAGAGUUGAACAGCAACACUUGAUCACCAACCUUAAAAUCUCUUGAGACUAUCUUCUUGUCAUGGAAAGACUUGGUUCGCUCCUUGUAGAUUUUGGAACUCUCAUAAGCUUCUAAGCGAAUCUCGUUGAGAUCGUUCAGUUGGAUCAAUCGCUUCUCCUUGGCGGUUUUAAUGCCAAAGUUCAGGAGUUUAACUGCCCACAUGGCUUUAUACUCGAGUUCAACAGGCAAAUGACAGGAUUUUCCAUAGAGGAGGUUGAAAGGAGUCGUUCCAAUAGGGGUCUUGAAGGCUGUUCUGUAAGCCCAUAGUGCGUCAUCGAGCUUAGUAGACCAAUCUUUCCUUGUAAUUCCCAUUGUUUUCUCUAAAAUUGCUUUUAUCUCCCUGUUGGAGAUUUCCACCUGCCCGCUCGUCUGUGGAUGAUAAGGAGUGGCUACCUUGUGCUUUACUCCAUGCUUCUUCAAAAGGUUCUCAAAAACCUUGUUGAUAAAAUGUUUCCCUCCGUCACUGAUCACAACUCUCGGGACUCCAAAUCUAGGGAAGAUAAUUGUCUUGAACAGCUUUAGCACAACUCUAGCAUCAUUGGUGGGGCUGGCUAUGGCUUCCACCCAAUUGAUACAUAGUCUACUACGACCAGUAUGUACUUGUUCCCGUAAGAAAAAGGAAACGGACCCAUAAAAUCAAUUCCCCAAACGUCAAAGAUCUCAACUUCUAAGAUCGGAUUCUGAGGCAUCUCAUUCCUUCUGCUGAUGUUCCCUUUCCUUUGACAUGAGUCACAUUUCGAGAUAAAUUCCUGAGCAUCCUUAAACAUUGUCGUCCACCAAAAACCAGCUUGCAAGAUUUUUGACACUGUCUUGAACGUUGCAAAGUGGCAACCAUAGGCGGACCCAUGGUAGUGCAGUAGGAUGCCUUCGAUUUCGUCUUCUGAAACGCAUCUCCUGUAGAUCUUAUCCUUGCAGAGUGUGUAGAGAUAAGGUUUGUCCCACUAGAAGUGGUUAAUGUCCUUGAAGAACUUCUUCUUCUCAUAGCUCGACAAAUUCGGAGGCUCUUCACCACUAACCAAGUAGUUGACGUGAUCAGCAUACCACAAAAGCUUUUCUUCAAUUGCACAUACUUGAUCGAGUGAUUUCCGAAUUUGAGCACUCUCGUUAAGUUGCUGAAUUGCCAUUAGCUGUUCUUCUGGCAUGGAAUCGUCAAUAGGGACCUCGUCUUCAAUUCUCAUUCUAGUUAGAUGAUCAGCUACACCGUUUUAAAUUCCCUACUUAUCAAUUAUCUCCAUAUCAAACUCUUGGAGCAAUAAGAUCCAUCUCAACAGCCUAGGUUUGGUAUCCUUCUUCGCGUAUAUAUGCCUCAGAGCAGCAUGAUCAGUGUAGACUGUCACCUUAGAGCCGACUAGGUAGCUUCUAAAUUUUUCGAAUGCAAAUACCACAGCUAGCAGUUCCUUCUCUGUAGUGGCAUACCUUACCUGUGCAUCAUCCAUCGUUCUUCUCGCGUAGUAUAUCACAUGCAACGUUUUAUCAAUCCUCUGGCCCAAAACUGCUCCUACUGCAUAAUCUGAAGCAUCGCACAUGAUCUCGAAUGGGAAGUCCCAGUUUGGAGCUUGGACUAUUGGGGCCGUGACCAAAGCUUCCUUGAUUAACUUAAAGGCUGUCAAACAUUCUUCAUCAAAUGUAAACUCGGCUUCCUUGCACAGUAGUCUUGUGAGCGGUCUUGCCAACUUGGAGAAAUCCUUGAUGAAUCUUUUGUAAAACCCUGCAUGUCCAAGAAAACUCCUGAUGUCCUUGACAGUCUUUGGUGGCUAUAACUACAUCAUCACGUCAACCUUAGCCUUAUCAACCUCUAUCCCCUCCUCAGAAAUUUCGUGCCCCAAAACGAUGCCUUCUCUAACCAUGAAAUGGCAUUUCUCCGAGUUCAGCACCAGGUUUGUCUCUGCACAUCUUUUGAGUACCCUUCAUAGGUUCAACAAACACGAGGAGAAGGAAGAGCCAUACACAGAAAAAUCAUCCAUGAAUACCUCUACCAUCUCCUAUAUCAAAUCCGAGAAAAUGGAAGUCAACCACCGCUGAAAAGUAGCAGGUGCAUUACAGAGACCGAAAGGCAUACGCUUGUAAGCAAAGGUCCCAUAAGGACAAGUAAAAGUAGUUUUCUCUUGGUCAUUUGGGUGAAUAGGGAUUUGAAAAAAUCCGCUAUAGCCAUCCAACAAGCAAUAGUAAGGAUGGUUUGCUAAUCUUUCUAGCAUUUGAUCAAUGAAGGGCAAUGGGAAAUGGUCUUUUCUAGAGGCAGCAUUUAACUUCCUAUAGUCAAUACACAUCCUAUGUCGAGUUAUAGUCCUAGUGGGUAUCAGUUCAUCUUUAGCAUUUUUAACAACUGUCAUACCUCCCUUUUUAGGAACGCAGUGAACUGGAGAUACCCAAGUGCUAUCAGAGAUAGGGUAAAUAACCCCAGCAUCUAAUAGUUUAAGUAUCUCCUUUUUCACAACCUCUUUCAAGUUUGGAUUUAAUCUCCUUUGAGGUUCAAUGCUAGAGUAGGAUUCAUUUUCAAGAUGGAUUCUAUGGGUGCACAAGGUGGGUGAAAUCCCCUUAAUAUCAUCUAACGAAUAUCCUAUAGCUUUCCUAUACUUCUUGAGCUCAGUUAUCAGCAGGUUUACUUGAUCAGCAGUUAGCUCAUCAUUCACUAUGACAGGAUAAGUAGAGUUUAGUCCAAGAAAAACGUACCUUAGCCCUUUUGGUAGCGGUUUCAAAUCUACUUUGGGUGCCUUGAGUUCAGACCAGUCAUCGGAUACUAAGUUGGCUUCAGAGGAGGGGUUGUGGUCGAGUAGUUCGGUCGAGUACACUGAAUGGACUGUUAGUCGAGUGAUGUGGUCAAGUAUAUAUUCCUUCCUUGCUCUUUCACCCAAAUCUUCAUAUUCUCCUGGAUUCUCAACUGCUUUGUGUUCAUCUAACAGCUUCUGGUACCCUAGAGUCUCCAAAUGUAAAUCUCCUUCUUAGCUAUCCUUUGUUAGAGCACUCUGUUGAUGAUCUGUUUCUCUUAGCUCUUCUAGCAUUUCGUCAGCUAACAUAUCCAUCUCUUCAAUCCAGAAAACAUUUCCUUCUAUUGUAGGUUUCUUCAUGGUGUUGGUGAUAUCGAAGGUCAUCUUGAGAUCUCUCCCGAGGUUAAGAUCGAUCUUUCCCUUCUUAACAUCAAUGAUAGCUCCGACUGUAGCUAAAAAUGUUCUUCCCAAUAUCAAAGGGUCUUUAGGUUCUUCAUCCAUUUCUAGAACCACAAAGUCUGUAGGUACUUCGACCACGCCUUUCAUGACUGGUAAGUCUUCCAGGAGACCAUGGGGAAUUCUAACAGAUCUGUCAGCCAGGACCAGGGAUAUUUGUUUGUGUGAAACCAGAGAUAUCAUUCCUUAGUCUCGCAGUCCAGGAGUUUGAGAACAACUUAGCCAAGAAGGCUUUCUUGCAGUCAUUCCUGGAGGUGAUAGAGCCUUGAGGAAGCGAUUUUUCCCACUGAUGGGCUUUGUCUCCAAGAGAGAAUGGAAACAAUCUGAGCUUGAAGUCAUCCUCACUAACUCCAUUGAUCUUUGUUAGGCUGCAGAGCCUAUCAAACUCGUCCAGGUGAUCGAGUGGAUCCUCCAUAGGGAGGCCGUGGAAGUUGUUGCUCUGAACCAUGGCAAUGAGACCGCUAUUGAUCUCAAAGUUGUUGUUCUGCACUGGUGGAGGCACGGAUCCAUUACGCUGAUUGUGGUUGCGUGGUGCAUCGCCUGCACCUAUGUUGUUUGGUUGCACUUGCUCAUCUACAACUGUAGCCAUUGUGUCUGUUUCUGUCUGUGUUCUGAGUUGGCGUGCAAUACGGUCGAUAUUAUCGUUGAACAGGAGAUUCUGAUUUCCUCGUGACCGUGUUUGCAUACAACGAGUACCAACUGAUGAAGCUAGUGAUAGAAAUCCUCAAGCAACAGGUUUAACAACAAAUCAAUUCACUCCCGUGAUAGAAAUCCUCAAGCAAAGCUAGCCCAGACUAAUUCCCAUUAACGGAAUUUAACUAUGCAGGCAAUAAGAACAGACUGAUAAAGUCAAUAAACGCUCUAAACGGCCAAUCCCUUGGGAUAGAGACGCAUAUCUCAGGAACUAGUGGAUCAAGCAUUCCAUCGAACACCUUCUAGGUGCGGGAAUGCUUGAGAUCGAAUUCCAGUUGAUCAGAAAGAAAUAAGCAGUAAACGCAACUAGUCCUGAAGGGAUUCAAUCAAUUCUAAAACUUAACCAUUAUACAGACUACGAAUUCCACAACUACUCUAUCCCAUCCCUAAGAAUUCUAAGUCACUACUCAGACAACAUGCUCAAAGACAUAAACGCAGAUAAAUGAUAAUAUUGCAUAAGUAAAGAGAUAAAGAGUAGAGAAACAAGAUGACAGAUGAAAUCAAAUGCGGAAUCUGAAUAACUUGGAAAAAUCUCGAAUUACUGGUUGCAGAAGCAAAAGCGGCGCAGCAGAGUAAAACAGAAAAUAAAACUGAAGCAAAAACUCAAUGUCGACUAGAUGUCUCAGGACAGAACCCUAAGACAUCUAUUUAUACAAAACGAAAUAAAAUGAUAGUAGACAGGCCAAUAACCUAAUCCCCGGCCCAUAGAAUGAUAAUGGGCCGAGAUGGGCUUCGUGAUCCGAUGGAGGUCCAGGCCGCUUCCAAACACUUUGUUUUCUCCUCUUCUCUUCCUUGUGCUCAGCUUGUCUGGUUGAGUGCGGAUUUGAGUAGACUGUGAAGACGUGAUCGAGUGUCCGGUCGAGUGAUGGUGAUGGUGGUGAGUGAUGAUACUCGACCAGGGGGUCGAGUAACUUGGUAGAGUGAAUGGCCGAGUGUGGUCAGGUGGUGUGGCGAAGUGAUACUCGACCAGGGGGUUGAGUGGCAUCAUCGAGUGGCCUGAGCUGAGGAUACUCGACCAGGGGGUCGAGUAGAUGGGAAGAAUGGCUCCAAAGUUACUCGACUUGGGGUCGAGUAUGGUGCUGGAUGCACAGGACCUGGUGGUCGAGUAUGUCUUCUAGGUCUGGCUCGUUUCUUCCAAUUUGCUCGCAAACAGCUCCAAAUCACCUGAAAACAAAUCAGAAAUGCAAUAUGUAUGCAAAGCUAUCCUAAUCAUGCAAAGUAUGCAAGAAUGAUGAGAAAUGAUAUAAAACAGUGAUGAAUGAUACAAAACUGGACUCAAAACGAUGAUGAAUGGACACUGAAAACAUGCAAAUUAUAGACAUAUAACUCCCCUAAACUUAGUCUUUGCUUCCCCUCAAGCAAACAAUUAAGAACAAGCUGGUGGUGAGGUUUGAAAGCGGGGACUUAUAGCCAAAGCACCUGAUAAACCAUAUGAAAUCAAUGUCCAAAUUGAUAGUUCUAAGCUGCAAUAUGAUCGAAUUCUACUCAAAAACGUUAGCCAUGCCUUGUUAUUAAUCAAUCUGACUCAUAUGCUCGACCUACACAUGCUUUCAAAUCUACCAAUCCCUUUAACAUUCAUUAGUUCUGGAACGUGAAUCAAGCAAUGCAUCAUCAAUGAACUCAUUUGGCUAAGGUAAAAGGUCAAGAGACAAAGAUUGUCCCUUACAGAAUAGGCUUCAGUAACAGGGGAUCUCUCAAAAAAUGAUUAAGCUUUAGUAGAUUGCUAAAGGUAAGUCCCAAGCUAUGCAUAUAGAGAUAAGAUCCCAUCUACCCAGAGUAUAUCAAAUGAAGCUCUAAUGGUAAUCCCAUCUCCAAUCCCAAUAUAAAAACCUAACUCUACCCUUUGCAUUCAUGAAUCCUUUAUGCCCUUUUUCUAAUCAUUCUUUUCUUUUCUCUUAACUCUAGGAGAAGAUUUCUCAACACUUUGAUACAUCUAGCGGAUUUGGAUCUCUUUAACAACUAAGGUUCCUGUUUUUAGCAUUUUAAAACCGAGGGCUUUUGCCCAUCUUCAAUAGCUAACAAGAACUCUUUCUUUUCUUUACAAAUCCCAAAACCUUUACUAGAUUUUUUCUGCUUCUUUAGCUUACCUUACCUAGAGUCUUUUACCUUUUCUCAUCAGAAAAUCCAAGUAUUUUAGGGUAUCCAUGAGUUCAAAUUUGAUGCAAACAUGACAAUUAAAGAUCAGAUUCAGGUUCAUAUUGAUAGGGAAUGGUAUCAGAUCAUGACAGUGUGGUCGACUAGAGCAAUCUAGGCAUGGUUCAGUUUUAUUUCUAAUUCAUUGACUACGCAACAGACAACUAGCAAAGAGGGCACUAAGUUUAUCCGGUGAACCAAAAUGCUUACAAGGCUAUCUCAUCAUUAUCCCCUAUGCAUAUGCAAAAAUCCUAAAUGAAACACUCUAGACUCGAUCCUAAAUGUAAUGCAACUACAUAAACAUUCUUUUUUUUGUGAAAUCAUUUCUGAAAUUUUUCAAAAUUUUUUUGGUUUUUCUAUGCCUUAGAUGUAUGCGGACUAAAAAAUAUACACAAUGCAAUACACACUUCCUGAGCCCUCCCCAAAACUUAAAUCACACAGUCCACUGUGUGGAUAAACUUGGAAGAGAGUACCCAGGACAAAUCCAUUCACAGAAACAAAAUAAAGAACAAAUCACAAGAGAUGAUAUAAUACAAUGGUGAAGUGAGGCGCUUACCUCAGUCGAAGAAUGAACGAAGUCGGUCGUCAAUGGCUGCUUGUGAUUGCUCCCUGGCCAUAGACGAACCGCCCUGUUCCGUAUCAGCUCCAGUAGGUGGGUACUCGACCUCCUCAGCUCUGUGGCGGCCAUCACCGCUCUGAGGAUACUCGACCUCUCUUCUUCAUGUAAACUACGAGAAUGCAGAAGUCGUCUACCCUUGUUGUUAGAUUGAGUGAGUGUGGUCCUCCUCUUCCUCCCAGAUUCAUGAGGCUCGAAUGAUGAAUGCCUCGCAGGGACAUGCAGAAUCUCCUGCUCUCUAGGCUCAGGUUUGCGCCGAAUUGGCUCGGGCGCGUCAUAUCUCCUCGAAGGCAUGUCCUGAGGGAGCUGUCCCUGUGGAAUAGCUGUAGUGGAAGUGGAGCAGCUGAUCUUAUCCUUCAGAAACUUGAUAGCCCUGAGGCACUUGGCGAGAAACUUAUCCUGUUUCUUGCACCACUUCUGCAGCUUGAUGUUAUUCCUGUGAGCUUCGCUCAAACUCUUGCUUUCCCUCGCUGGAAGUAUAUGCUCACUGAAAUGAUACAUGCUCGUGUCAAACUCCGCCUAAUCUAUGUCAUCUGUCUCAUCAACAUCUUCUGUUAUAGCUCCUUCGGUGUGACUAAUCUCCUCAGUUGGCAGACUGCCCUCGAAAUAAAGAUCUUCAAGCGCAGGCUUGAAGUCAAUGUUCCUGCCCUCAAGAAUCCUAGUAGCAUCAAUGUAGGGGAGAAGAAUGUUGGCGAUUCUAAUCGAUGAAUGCUCGAACCUGUAGCGGUGAAAGUCGCUAGCCAUGUCAAACUCCAAGAACUCACAUCGGCGCAAGUGAUCCAAGUCCAUCAUUCUCGGUGCUAACCCUGGUUCCUUAAGCGGUACUCCACAAGCUUCCAGAAUUGGCGUCACAACGCCAUCCAUGCAUAGUGCUCCUGUCACCUUAUUCUUGUCGUUCGUCAACGCCCACUUCCUAUAUCCACACAGGUGGAUCAACAGAGGCAUGACUAGUGGUGCGUUGUUGAGAUCGCCUCUCAAGACAUUCUUUCCCUUUGUACAGCAGAGAAUCCCUGUAAGCGCGGAAUCUAUCAUCUCCAUGUCCGUGUUAGACACGGUGCAUGUAGACUCCCUAGAGUAAAAAACGUUGGCAACCGAGCGGUGAAAGUAGCGGAUCACAGGACUCCGGAUUUGGUUGCUUUUGGACCGCGCCAAGUUUAGCGGUAAAUUAUUCCCAAUAGUAGCCCACAAAUCCUUAAGCUCUUCCCUGUCAAACCUGGUUUUGGUUCCCUUUCCACUAGGGAAACAAAACAGUUCUUCCAACUUCUUGAUCGAAAGCUGAUACCACUGUUCAUCCAUUGAGAACGUCAAGAACCCUAACCCUAAACCCUAAACCCUAAACCCUAAACCCUAAACCCUAAACCCUAAACCCUAAACCCUAAACCCUAAACCCUAAACCCUAAACCCUAAACCCUAAACCCUAAACCCUAAACCCUAAACCCUAAACCCUAAACCCUAAACCCUAAACCCUAAACCCUAAACCCUAAACCCUAAACCCUAAACCCUAAACCCUAAACCCUAAACCCUAAACCUUAAACCCUAAACCCUAAACCCUAAACCCUAAACCCUAAACCCUAAACCCUAAACCCUAAACCCUAAACCCUAAACCCUAAACUCAAUGUAUGUGAGUCCCUCAUACAUCUCCACUUGCAGUGUGGAAAGAAACUCGAUUGUCUCCUCCUUAUAGGAAGCGUAAGAGUAAGACAUGAGUGUUUCCAGAUGCCACUUCUCGAACAGAUGCUGCACGUCCUCCAGUAACCCCAGCUGGGCUAAAGUCUCAUAGUAGGGAUACCUCGUUCCCCAUAAAUCAUUCAUCUCAAAGAAUCUGAUAUACUCCUCCACUGUAACCUAUUCGGGUUUGUUCAGUAGCUUCGUCUUCUUGCACCAUGACUUUGGCUCAUACUCAGUUUUGAUGUCCUCAUCAAUCAGCUCAUAUCUACUGGGCAUCGCUCUCUUCCCUCUGGUGAUUUCUGCUCUUCUCUGAUUACGUCGAGCAGAGGAGCGUUGAAAUUCAUCCCUGAAGCUCUCGUAAACAUGUUCCUCUCUCUCCGGUCUAGAGGACCAGGACUCAGCUUCAUCCACAUUAUAAUCAGGAUCCAUAGAGGAUUCUCGACUGUAGUUACUCAUGAUCAAACCUGUAAACAAUUGAAACUCAAAGAUAAACGUUAAUAAGUUAGUCUCAACAAAACCAAAAACACAAACCAACACAGUAAACCGGUCGAGUGAUGUAAUCGAGUAAACCUUCGUUUAAUUUUUUUUUUUUUUUCUUUUCUUUCGGUUGAUCAAGUGAUUUCGUACGACCGAGUGAAGUUCGUUUCGUGGUAAGAGUGAUGCGUAGGUCGAGUGGUGAGCUUGAAGAGGAGGAGAUAUGGUGAUGCGGUUUGAAAGAGGUUAAGUGAAAAUGGAGGAGCGGUGAUUCGAGUGAUUGUGGUGGUUGAGAGGCGAGGUGAGCUGAAUGAUUCCUCGGUUGCGAAUGUGAGAAGAGAAGACGCGAUCGAGUGAAGAGGCGAUGAAGAAGUUUAUUAUGAGGGAUCGAGUGAAGUGGAGCUCACGGAAGAAGAGAAGAUGGUGGUGGCUUUGGUGAAGAGGUGAGUUGCCGCAAUCGAGUGGUUGUGAGCUUGGAGGUCGAGUGAUUAAAACGAACACUUGAAGACUUGAAUUGCAAUGAGCGACGAUGGGAGAUGAGAGAGUUGCGAAAAGUUUGGUGUGUGGAGAAAGAUGUUGAGGUCGAGUAUAUGAAGAGGAUGGUGAGGAGGUCGAGUGGAUGAGAGUAUGAGAGUUGGGUUGUUGGUUGUAAUGAAUGAGGAGGGAUGGGGUCGAGUUAAUAGGUGUGGAGGAGAUAACGAGGUCGAGUAAGUGAUAGGUGUGGGAUGGGGAUGGCGUCGAGGUUGAGUGGAGAUAGGAUAAGGUGAGGGGGUCGAGUGGUUGUGAGAAGAAAGAGUUGGAUUUCUUGUCUGUUGGUUAGGAGCGUGGGAGACAUAGGGUGCAGCAGUGGGUCCCUCGUCUGUCUCCUUAUUCUAAAUUAUUAUUCUUUCUUCACUAGGAAAGUCUCAGGAAAUCCAACAAUCUUCUGUAAACUUAAUAAACUUCCUGUAAGAACUUGUAGCUUCUGUUGGUCGAGUGAAAUGAUGAUUUAAAAGUUUUAGAUUUUAAACACUCAACCAAUGUACUCGGUCCCUAGGCCGUCUGUAGAGUAAAAGUUUUGAAUUUUUACUCUAGCUUUACGUUAUUCCUCUGUUCCUGAGAACCACAAACACAACUAAAAUAAAUCAAAAAUAACAAGAAAGUAAAAAUUAUUUACAAGGAUAAUCAUGGGACUUCCUCCCAAGUGAGUUUGUUUAAAGUCUCUAGCUUGACUCCUCACACUUAUCAAGAAGAAAAUGAAUGAUAGAGAGGGUCUGCAUAGUCCUCUCUAAUAUCAUCAUCAUACUCAGCGUCCUCCCUGGAGAGGUCUACAGCAGAAUACUCAAUUCCCCUCUCUUCAAAAUAUGCUUCUUUCUCUUUUGGAGGGUUAUCUAUCUCUUCAGACCAUCUUGAAGUGAACUUCUUUAUAGGGAUAGUGUCAAUCCCGCCUUUAGGUUGAGCUUCCUUCUGCAACUGAUUCUGCUUACUUCUAAGUUCCUCAACAGUGUGGGCUUGCUUCUCUAUAGUUUCAUCUUGCUUCUCAGACCUCUUUUUAAGUUCCUUUACUCUUUUAGUCUCAUAUCCUUCUCCUGAGAUCGCUCUAUCAUUUCCAAAGGUUUUUCCAUCUUCUGUUGACCCUUGUGGAGUUUUGUUGAUGUCAAACUGCAACUUGAUGUGCUUUCCAAGGUUGAGACUUAUUUUCCCUUCCCUGACAUCUAUCACUGCUCCCACUGAAGCUAAGAAGGAUCUUCCCAGGAUUAAGGACCCUUAUGCUCUACUUCCAUAUCCAGCACCACGAAGUCUGUAGGCACUUCUACUCCAUUAAUCAUGACUGGUAGAUCUUUCAGCAUGUCGUAGGGUUUUCUUAAAGACCUAUCCGCAAGGAUCAAAGUCAGGUCACAAGGUUUAUACUGAAUAAACUCUAACCUUCUUGCCACAGAGAGUGGCAUUAAGCUGACAGAGGCUCCGAGAUCGCACAGACAAUCGCUGAAAGCUAAUUACCCAAUGGAACAUGGUAGAGUGAAAGAUCCAGGAUCUUCUAACUUUUCUUGAACAAUCCUCUUAUCAACAGCUCGAGAUGGAGUGGCAUCACUUUCAUCAUCUGAAUUGUGAUACAUCUUGAUCUUUUCCAGUAUCAAAUUUCUCACAUCUUUGUGAGGAUCGGGAAUCAGGUUGAGAAUUUCCAUCAGUGGCAUCACUUCUUCAAUCUUGUCUACCUGCUUCGCUGCAACAGACUUGUAUCUCUCCAUCCACGCUUUCUUGAAUGUCCACGGAAAAGCACGUGAGGGUAAUGAAGUAUGUUUGAAUCGUUUUACCAUUCUCUCGAUUAUGGCGGACUUCUCUUCUGAGGUGGAUUGAAUGAGAUGGCGAGAACAAGAAGAAUGGUUGAAUUCAAGAACAGAGACUUCAAUCUGAGUGGAAGCCUUCCUUUCUUGAACAUCACUGUCCCUAGUGAUUAAGUCAGGGACAUGUCGAGUUGGCAGCUCUCGAUCAUGGCAGUUAGUGAUGGCGUGAGCAGUUGCAUACUCCUUUGAAUUCUGUAUUGACUUCCUUGGAAGUCCUGUGACUUUAGGUGCAGAGGUAGAUGCUGAUUGUCCUUCUAAAUAUCUGACUUUGGUAUUCAAUGCCUCCACUUUGGCAUUCAGGUCAUUGUAGUUGUAGUCCAGCUUAUGGUGCAAUUCAAAUAAUUUCUUAGCAAUUUCCAUGGAGCUAGAUGCUUGUCCCUGUAGCAGCUGUUGUACCAUCUGUUUCAUUUCAGCAUCAGGAGCAGCAGGAUCUUGGUUUUGCUGAGGUGCAAACCCAGGUGGUGGUUGCGGCUGGUAGUUCCCCUGAAAUUGCUGCUUAGGAACAAAACCUUGAUUGUAAGGAACAAAAGGUUUGUUCUGAUCUUGUUGUUGCUGUGGAGGAUACACUUGAUCUUGAGGAUUAACAACGUUGGUGCUGCGGUAGGAGAGGUUGGGGUUGUUGGUUUUGAAGUUGUUAUACCCUUUGUAGCCGCUCUGGUUGUUGUUGAUGUAGCUGACUUCUUCCAACUGGUUACCCUCCCCACCUUGGACUUGAUACUUCUCGUCAUCAACAAGGAAGUGCACAUGCUUCUGCUGGCUAAGAAGAAUCAUGUCCAGCUUGUCAUUCAGUGCUUUGAUCUCCUUCCUUUGUUUGUCAUCAGAUUCAGUUGUGCCUCUGACGGUCCUAUCACAGUCCUCGUUGUAAUUACCAUCUGAUUGAGCAAGGUUCUCAACAAUUUCCCAGCCUUCUUCAACAUCUUUGUUCUGGAAGUUCCCAUUGCUGGCGGUUUCCAGAAGGAUUCUCAUGCGUGGCAAAACGCCUCUAUAAAGAGUGCUGAGCAGAGAGGCUUUAGUGAAGCCAUGAUGAGGGCAUUGGGUUGUAUAACCCUUAAAACGCUCCCAUUCUUCACAGAAGCUUUCACCAGCCUUCUGUAAAAAGCCAGAGAUCUCAUUUCUGAGUCUUGCAGUUCUGGCGUUGGAGACGAACUUUGAUAGAAAAGCCUUCUUGCAAUCAUCCCAGGUGGUGAUUGAGUCAUGGGACAGAUUCUACUCCCAAAUGUGAGCUUUGUCGCCCAAGGAGAAUGGAAACAAACGGAGCUUGAAUCCGUCUUCACUGACACCAUUGAUUUUUGUUAGGUUGCAGAGCCUAUCGAAUUCAUUAAGGUGGUCGAGUGGAUCCUCAAUUGGCAGACCAUGGAAUUUGUUCCCCUGAAUCAUCGAGAUGAGACCGCUCUUAAUCUCGAAGUUGUUGUUCUAGAUAGCAGGAGGUGCAAUUCCUUUCCGCUAACGGUGAUCACGUGGUGCGUUUCCAGCACCAAUGUUGGCAGGGCCUUUUUGAUGAUUCUGUUCGUCAGCCAUUUCGAGUGGUUGUUGUGGUAUUAGGUUGACUGUGUUUCUCUUUUCUCUGAGUUCGCGAGCUAUGCGGUCGAUGUUGUCGUUGAAAAGGAGGUUCGGAUUGCCUGUUGAUCGAGUUUGCAUACAGCAGAGGUGUACCUAGAACAAGAAGACAACAAGAAAAAUACACAGUUAGCAACCGAAUUGAAAAUUGAAAAAGAACUUGAUCUAAGCAAGUCUGAAAUCUCAAAUGUAACAAAAAAACACCCAAUUGGCAACGGCGUCAAAUUGAUAAUAGAUUUUUUAGUCAGUUAUCUUAAAACACGAAUCAUGUCGUUGUAGUAUUUUAGUGGCUUGCUAGAACACUGCUAGAACACCAAUCAUACAGCAGAGGUGUACCUAGAACAAGAAGACAACAAGAAAAACACACAGUUAGCAACCAAAUUGAAAAUUGAAAAAGAACUUGAUCUAAGCAAGUCUGAAAUCUCAAAUGUAACAAACAAACACCCAAUUGGCAACAGGGACAAAUUGAUAAUAGGUUUUUUAGUCAAUUAUCUUAAAACACCAAUCAUGUCGUUGUAAUAUUUUAGGUUGUCAAUCCAAAUGAGUUUGAUGCUAACAAUAAGGAUGACUUGAUGGCAUGUGUAUGAUUGGUGUUCUAGCAGUGUUCUAGCAAGCCACUAAGUCACUAAGUCACUAAGUCAAGCCAAGUAAUAACAGGUUUUGGUGUGUUCUAGCAGUCCUAAGUGAACAUGCAGAAAACAGAAAAUCAAGCAGAAACAAUAAAACACUUGACCAACACAGCUCGUUGCAGAGCACUGGGUGUGGUCGAGUGACAGUUCGAGUAACAGACAGAAAAUGUAACAGGGAUACUCGAUUGCACAGUCUGUUGCCGGACAACUGGGGGGUCAAGUAACAGGUCGAGUAACAGUAAAGAAUUGCAGAAACUAAGCAACAGAUGAAAAGAUGCAGUAAACAACAGUAGAGUAAACAAUAAAAUCAAUCAGAUAAAGAAUUCCCGAGGAUGGGGUAAUUGAGUAGUUUCGUUUCCUCAAUUUACAGGUGAUUGACAUGCUCAAUAAAUUAUCCCUAGACAACAAGUUCAUUAACCAAAUCUAAGUGCCACCGCAAUAGAGACCCUCAACUUAACCUAGUCCCAGACUCAAUCACCAUUGACGAGAGCUAACCUUAUAGGCAUUACGAAUCAACAAGUUAAAGCCAAAACACUCCCUGCAACCAAUACCUUGGUACUGAGCCACGAAUCUCUGGAAUUAGUGGUUCAGACAUUUCAUCGAACACCUUUUGGGCGCGGAAAUGUCUGGGCUCAAAUUCCAGUUGAUCAAAAAGCAAUAGGGAUUAAGAACAACUAAUCCAGAAGGGAUCUAUCAAUCAAUACUCAACCACCUAGCAUACUGAGAAUUCUACACUACUCUAACCCAUCCUCAGAAACCUAUUCACUACUCAGACAUCAUUGAAGAGAACAUAAACGUUGAACAGGAUGAAAACAUGAUAACAACAGUGUAAUAGCAAAACAAUAACAGGAUGAACAACAAUAAACAAAAUCAAGAACAAAUACUGAAUACUGAAUAGAUAAAGAGAAAUCCAGAUUACAAAAGGUCUAGAACACAAUGUCUGCGAAAUAAAACUAGAUAAAAACCUCUUCUCGAAAAUGUAAAGUACAUGCUACUUAUAGCAAAAUAUUCGAAAACCCUAAUACUCAAAACGAUGCAGUAUUGGGACAUAUUAAGAACUAUACUCAACCCAGAUGGUCGAGUGAGAGGUCGAGUGAUAUGCUAGAGUCUUCUUUUCUUCCUUGUGCUCGAGUGUCUAGUUGAGUGCGGAAUGAAGAAGACUCUAAAGCUUGCCAUAGAGUAUGUAGUCGAGUGGUGGUGGUGAAGACACUCAACCUGGGGGUUGAAUGAUGUGAUCGAGUGACUGGUCAGGUGGUGGAGGUGAAUACACUCGACCAGGUGGUCGAGUGAGGUGAUCGAGUAUCUCUCGUGGUGGUACUCGGCCAGAGGGUCGAGUGAUGAGAUGAAAUUGUGAACUCCCCUACUCGACCAGGGGGUCGAGUGGUCUGUUGAGGUCUUGAAGCUUCUACUCGACCUCGGGGUCGAGUGGUUUGACAUGAUCAGGUCCGCUUCUUCCAGUUAGCUCGUCAACAGCUCUAAAUCACCUGAAAUCAACACAAAUAUGCAACAUGCAUGCAAACCUAUCCUAAACAUGCAAAGUGAUGACAAAUGAUGAGAAUGGUAUAAAACACUGAUGAUAAGGUGCUAAAGUGAUGACAAAUGGUAUGCUCAAACUUGCAAAAUACACACUUAUCAACAUGAUAGCAACAAAGUAAUAGCAGGAUGAUAAUAGGAUGAACAACUUGGUAAACCAAAUCAAAAGCAAAUACUGAAUACUGAAUAGAUUAAGAGAAAUCCGGAUUACAAAAACGUCAAGAACACAGUGUCUGCGGAAAAUAAAACUUAGGUAAACGAAAAUGUAAAAUACAUGGUACUGAUAGCGAAAUAUUAUGAAACCCUAAUACUCAAAACGACACAAUAUUGGGACGGAUUAAGAACGGUACUCGACCCAGGUUGUCGAGUAAUUUGUCGAGUGAUAAGCUGGAGUCUUCUUCUCUUCCUUGUGCUUGAGUGUUGGUUGAGUACGGAAUGGAGAAGACUCUAAAGCUGGAAGUCGAGUAAGAAGUCGAGUGAUUGAGAUGGUGGUACUCGGCUUGGUGUUAAAGUGAUCGUAGAGUGUGUGAUGAUGGUGGGACUCGGUCGUGUAAUCGAGUGAGUGAUCGAGUGAUUGUGAUGGGGAUGCUCGACCAGGGGGUCGAGUGGUGUGAUCGAGUGAUUGUCAGGUGGUGUGUUGAAGUCGUUAAGCCAUGUACUCGACUAGGUAGGUCGAGUGGUUUGAUAUGAUCAGGUCCGCUUCUUCCAAUUAACUCGCCAAUAGCUCCAAAUAUCCUGAAAGCAACACAAAUAUGCAACAUGCAUGCAAAACUAUCCUAAACAUGCAAAGUGAUGACAAAUGAUGAGAAAUAAUAUAAAAAAAUGGUAAUAUGAUGCAAUAGUGAUAACAAAUGGAUGCUCAAAACAUGUAAAAUGCACACUUAUCAAGUAGAAGAGCUAGAACCGCAACCGGAUUUUGAAAACCCAAGUAGUGUUUCCUUGUUAGAAGAUACAAAGCCCAAGACUCAUACGGACUUCGGUUACACCAUUAAAGCUUUGAGAAGCAAGAAGAAGUUUGGUUUGUGUUUUUCAGUCAAAUAUGACCAGAUGUCAUUUGUAUGAUUGAGUAUAAGAACUCAAACCACAGCCGGAUCUUGAAAGCCCAAAUAGUGUUUCCUUGAUAGAAGAUACAAAGCCAAAUUCUCAUACGAACGUCGGCUACACCAUCAAUGCUUUGAGAAGCAAGAAGAAGCUUGGUUAGUGUUUUGGAGUCAAAUAUGACUUUAUGUCAUGUGUAUGUUUAAGUAUUAGAACUUAAACUACAAACGGAUCCCAAAAGCAAAAUUAGUUUUUCCAUGCUAGAAGAUACAAAGCAAAAUAUUCAUACUGACUUCGACAUCACCAUUAAAGCCUUAGGGAGCAUGAAGAAGCUUGGUUGGUGUUUUGAAGUCAAAUAUGACUUGAUGGCAUGUGUAUGAUUGAGUAUAGGAACUCAACCACAACCGGAUCUUGAAAGCCCAAGUAGUGUUUCCUUUUUAGAAGGUACAAAGACAAAGACUCAUACGGACUUUGGGUACACCAUCAAAACUUUGAGAAGCAAGAAGAAGCUUGGUUAAUGUUUUGGAAUCAAAUAUGACUUGAUGUCAUGUGUAUGAUGGAGUAUAAGGACGAGAAUUGCAACCGGAUCUUAAAAGCCUAAGUAGUGUUUCCUUGUUAGAAGAUACAAAGCCAAUGAAUCAUACGGACUUUCGCUACACCAUCAAAGCUUUGUGAAGCAAGAAGAAGCUUAGUUAGUAUUUUAGAGUCAAAUAUGACUUGAUGUCAUGUGUAUGAUUGAGUAUACGAACUAGAACCUUAACUGGAUCUUAAAACCCAAAGUAGUGUUUCCUUGUUAGAAGAUACAAAGCAAAAGACGCAUGUGGACUUUGGUAACACUAUUAAAGCAUUGAGAAUCAAGAAGAAGCUUGGUUAGUAUUUUGGUGUCAAAUAUGACUAGAUUUCAUGUGUAUGAUUUGAGUAUAAGAACUAGAACUGCAACCCGAUCUUUAAAGCCUAAGUAGUGUUUCCUUGUUAGAAGAUACAAAGCCAAAGACUCAUACGGACUUCAGCUACACCAACAAAGUUUCGAGAAGCAAGAAGAAGCUUGGUUAGUGUUUUGGAGUCAAAUAUGACUUGAUGUCAUGUGUAUGAUUGGGUAUAAGAAUUAUAACCGCAACCGGAUCUUAAAACCUAAGUAGUAUUUAUUUUUUAGAAGAUACAAAGCCAAACAUUCAUACGGGCUUUGGUUACACCAUUAAAGCUUUGAGAAGCAAGAAGAAGCUUGAUUAUUGUUUUAGAGUCAAAUAUGCCUAGAUGGCAUGUGUAUGAUUGAGUACAAGAACUCGAACCACAACUGGAUCUUGAAAGCCAAAGUAGUGUUUCCUUGUUAGAAGAUGCAACGCCAAUUACUCAUACGGACUUCGGCUACACCGUCAAAGCUUUGAGAAGCAAGAAGAAUCUUGGUUUGUGUUUUGGAGUUAAAUAUAAAGUGAUGUGAUGUCUAUGGUUGAAUAUUAGAACUUGAACCGCAAACGGAUCCAAAAAGGAAAAGUAGUGUUUCCAUGCCAGAAAAUACAAAGCCAAAGACUCAUACGGACUUCGACAUCACCAUCAAAGCCUUAGGAAGCCAGAAGAGGCUUGGUUAGUUUUUUGGAGUCAAAUAUGACUAUGAUUGAGUAUAAGAAUUCAAACUGCAACCGGAUCUUGAAUGCCGAAGUAGUGUUUCUUUUUUAGAAGAUACAAAGCCAAAUACUCAUACGGACUUUGGCUACACCAUCGAGAAGCAAGAAGAAGCUUGGUUAGUGUUUUGGAGUCAAAUAUGAAUUGAUGUCCUGUGUAUGAUUAAGUAUAAGACCUAGAUUGGCAACCAGAUCUUGAAAGCCUAAAUAGUGUUUCCUUGUUAGAACAUACAAAGCCAAUGAUUCAUACGGACUUCAUCUACACUAUCAAAGCUUUGGGAAGUAAGAAGAGGCUUAGUUAGUGUUUUAGAGUCAAAUAUGACUUGAUGUAAUGUAUAUGAUUGAGUAUAAGAACUAGAACCACUACCAGAUCUUAAAAGCCUAAGUAGUGUUUCCUUGUUAGAAGAUACAAACCAAAGACUCAUACAGAUUUUGAUUACACCAUUAAAACUUUAAGAAGCAAGAAGAAUCUUGGUUAGUGUUUUGGAGUCAAAUAUGUCCAGACGACAUGUGUAUGAUUUAGUAUAAGAACUCGAACUACAACCUAAUCUUGAAAGCCCAAAUAGUGUUUCCUUGUUAGAACAUACAAAGCCAAUGACUCAUACGAAUUUCAGCUACACUAUCAAAGCUUUGAGAAGCAAGAAGAGGCUUAGUUAGUGUUUUAGAGUCAAAUAUGACUUGAUGUCAUGUGUAUGGUUAAGUAUUUGGACUAGAAAUGGAAACUGAUAUGUCUAUAAUUUGCAUGUUUUCAGUGUCCAUUCAUCAUCGUUUUGAGUCCAGUUUCGUAUCAUUCAUCACUGUUUUAUAUCAUUUCUUAUCAUUCUUGCAUACUUUGCAUGAUUAGGAUAGCUUUGCAUACAUAUUGCAUUUAUGAGUUGUUUUAGGUGAUUUGGAGCUGUUUGCGAGCAAAUUGGAAGAAACGAGCCGGAACCAGAAGACAUACUCGACCCCCAGGUCGAGUGACUUCGGAGCCAUUCUUCCCACCUACUCGACCACUUGACAACACUCGACCGUUCACUCUACCACAUCACUCGACCCCAUGGUCGAGUAUCACUUCGCCACACCACCUUACAACACUCGACCGUUCACUCUACCACAUCACUCGACCCCAUGGUCGAGUAUCACUUCGCCACACCAUCACCAUCACUCGACCGGACACUCGAUCACGUCUUCACAGUCUACUCAAAUCCGCACUCAACCAGACAAGCUGAGCACAAGGAAGAGAAGAGGAGAAGACAAAGUGUUUGGAAGCGGCCUGGACCUCCAUCGGAUCACGAAGCCCGUCUCGGCCCAUUAUCUUUCUAUGGGCCGGGUAAUUAGGUUAUUGGCCCGUUUACCAUCAUUUUAUUUUGUUUUGUAUAAAUAGAUGUCUUAGGGUUCUGUCCUGAGACAUCCAGUCGACAUUGAGUUUUUGCUUCAGUUUUAUUUUCUGUUUUACUCUGCUGCGCCGCUUUUGCUUCUGCAACCUGUAAUUCGAGAUUUUUCCAAGUUAUUCAGAUUCCGCAUUUGAUUUCAUCUGUCAUCUUGUUUCUAUACUCUUUAUCUCUUUACUUAUGCAAUAUUAUCGUUUACCUGCGUUUAUGUCUUUAAGCAUUUUGUCUGAGUAGUGACUUAGAAUUCUUAGGGAUGGGAUAGAGUAGUUGUGGAAUCCGUAGUCUGUAGAAUGGUUAAGUUUUAGAAUUGAUUGAAUCCCUUCAGGACUAGUUGCGUUUACUGCUUAUUUCUUUAUGAUCAACUGGAAUUCAACCCAAGCAUUCCCGCACCCAGAAGGUGUUCGAUGGAAUGUUCGAUCGACUAGUUCCUGAGAUAUUCGUCUCUAUCCCAAGGGAUUGGCCGAUUAGAGCGUUUAUUGACUUUAUAAGUCUGUUCUUAUUGCCUGCAUAGUUAGAUUCCGUUAAUGGGAAUUAGUCUGGGCUAGCUUUGCUUGAGGAUUUCUAUCACGGGAGUGAAUUAAUCUGUUGUUGAACCUGUUGUCUAGGGAUAGCUUGAUUGCGCUUGUUAACCAUUCGAAUAGGCUAGGAUACCACUCUACUCGAUUACCCUAUCCUUAGGAAUUUCUCGUCUAUCUUAUUUCUCUGUUUUAUUGUUAUCGCUUAAUCGUUGUCAUUGCCUGUUUCUUAGUUUUUGCAAUUACUCGACCAACUUACUCGACCACACCCAGUGUCUGGCAACAGACUGUGCAGUCGAGUGCAGUUGUUUCAUUUCCUGUCUGUUACUCGACCAGUAUACUCGACCACACCCAGUGUCUAGCAACAGACUGUGCAGUCGAGUAUAUCUGUUUCAUAUCCUGCCUGUUACUCGACCACAUCCUACUCCUGGCAUUAGCCUGUUGUGGUCGAGUGAUUUUAGUAAUUCUGUUAUUCUUUCUGUUUUCUGCAUGUUCACUUAGGACUGUUAGAAACCCCAAAACUGUUAUUGCUUGGCUUGACUUAGUGACUUCUGAUCACAUCUCAUUUGUCUGCAUCACACCCAUUUGGAUUGACACCUAAAAUACUACAAUGACAUGAUAGGUGUUUUAGGAUAAUUGACCAUAAAAACCUAUUAUCAAUUUGGCGCUGUUAUCUUUUUCAUUUUUUCUGAAAGUUACUAACUUUGUGUUUUUUCUGUUUGUCUGUUUUGAUUUAGGUACUACGAUACCAGCUUUACAAGUUGGUACUCGUUGUAUGCAAAUACGGUCACGAGGAAAUCAGAAUCUCCUGUUCAACGAUAACAUCGACCGUAUUGCACGCCAACUCAGAACACAGACAGAAACAGAGACAAUGGCUGCAGUUGUUGAUGAGCAGGUGCAACCAAACAACAUAGGUGCAGGCGAUGCACCACGCAACCAGAAUCAGCGUAAUGGCAUCGUGCCUCCACCUGUGCAGAACAACAACUUUGAGAUCAAGAGCGGUCUCAUUGCCAUGGUUCAGAGCAACAAGUUCCACGGCCUCCCUAUGGAGGAUCCACUCGAUCACCUGGACGAGUUUGAUAGGCUCUACAGCCUAACAAAGAUCAAUGGAGUUAGUGAGGAUGGUUUCAAGCUCAGAUUGUUUCCAUUCUCUCUUGGAGACAAAGCACAUCAGUGGGAAAAGUCACUUCCUCAAGGCUCUAUCACCUCCUGGAAUGACUGCAAGAAAGCCUUCUUGGCUAAGUUUUUCUCAAACUCCAGGACUGCGAGACUAAGGAAUGAUAUCUCCAGUUUCACUCAAACGAAUAAUGAGACUUUCUGUGAAGCAUGGGAGCGCUUCAAAGGUUAUCAGACGCAAUGUCCUCAUCAUGGUUUCUCCAAAGCUUCACUUCUCAGCACUCUCUAUAGAGGUGUCCUUCCCAAGAUCAGAAUGCUUCUUGAUACCGCUUCCAACGGGAACUUCCUCAACAAAGACGUUGAAGAAGGAUGAGAGCUGGUAGAGAACUUAGCUCAGUCGGAUGGCAACUAUAAUGAAGAUUAUGACAGAAGCAUCCGCACCAGCUCUGAUUCUGAUGAGAAGCACCGCAGGGAAAUGAAAGCCAUGAAUGACAAACUGGACAAGCUACUCCUUGUGCAACAAAAGCACAUUCAUUUUCUGGGUGAUGAUGAGACAGUCCAAGUGCAGAACCAAGGAGGUCAGCUAUGUGCAGAACCAAGGAGGUUACAACAAAGGUUUCAACAACUUCAAGCAGAGCCAUCCAAAUCUGUCUUACAGGAGUACAAAUGUUGCAAACCCGCAUGACCAAGUCUACCCUUCACAGCAGCAAAAUCAACCCAAGCCCUUUGUUCAUACAACCAAGGUCAGGGGUAUGUUCCUAAGCCGCAGUAUCAGGGCAACUAUCAGCAGCAACUUCCACCACCUAGGUUCACACACCAGCAACAACAACUAGCUUCAACAACUCCAGAUUCAGACUUGAAGAACAUGUUACAGCAGAUUCUCUAGGGACAAGCUGCAGGUGCAAUGGAUCUUGCCAAAAAGAUGGCAAAAAUCCACAACAAGGUUGAUUGUACUUUCAAUGAUCUGAAUAUCAAACUUGAGGCACUUACCUCUAAGGUCAGAUACAUGGAAGGACAAACAGCGUCAACUUCUGCUCCAAAAGUAACAGGACUUCCAGGAAAGUCAAUACAGAACCCGAAGGAAUACGCCACCGCUCACGCUAUCACCAUCUGUCAUGAUCGAGAGCUGCCUACUCGACAUGUUUCCACAUCAAUCACCGAGGACAGUGAUGUUCAGGACGGGGAGGCUUCUACUCAGAUUGAAAUUUCAGUGGUUGGACUCGACCAUUCAGCUGGAUCCCGUUUUCAAACCGAGUCCAACCUAGACGAGAAAGCAGCCAUCAUUGAGAGGAUGGUAAAACGAUUCAAGCCAGCACCAUUACCUUCACGUGCUCUUCCAUAGAAAAUUCAGGAAAGCAUGUAUAGAAAGAUACAAUUCUCUUGCAGAGAAGCAGCUUGAUGAGAUGGAAACGGCUUGAUGAGAUGGAAGCGGUGAUGCCUCUAAUAGAAGUUCUCAACCUAAUCCCGGAUCCUCACAAAGAUGUGAGAAAGUCAAUUCUGGAAAGGAUCAAGAUUCAUCAAGAUUCAGAAGACGAAUGUGAUGCUAUUCCGUUUAGGACCACUGCUAAGAGGAGUGUUCAAGAAAAACAGGAAGAUCCAGGAACUUUCACUCUACCAUGUUUCAUUGGUCAAUUGGUUUUCAGCCAUUGUCUUUGUGAUUUGGGAGCUUCAGUAAGCUUAAUGCCACUCUCCGUGGCAAGGAAGCUGGAAUUCACUCAGUACAGGCCUUGCGACCUGACUUUGAUCCUUGCUGAUAGGUCUUCAAGAAAACCCUUUGACCUUCUACAAGAUCUGCCAGUAAUGAUUAAUGGAGUGGAAGUGCCUACGGAUUUCGUUGUUCUUGAUAUGGAAGCAGAACCUAAGGAUCCUCUAAUCCUAGGAAGACCUUUCUUAGCCUCAGUGGAAGCGAUGAUAGAUGUCAGAGAUGGGAGAAUAAGUCUUAACCUUGGGAAGCACAUCAAGAUGCAGUUUGACAUCAACGAAACUUCGCAAAGGUCAGCUGUAGAAGAAAAGAUCAGGGCUCAACCUCAACGUUCGAAUUCAAUCACCAGACCAAGCACAGCCUCUACACCUAACUUGCGAGAUCUCAAAAAGAAAUCUGAUGAGCAAGAAGAGACCAUAGAGAAGCUAGCUCAGACAGUUGAGGAACUUAAGAGUAAACUGGAUCAUAUGCAAGAGAUAGCUCAAUCCAAAUGCGGGAAUAACACUAUCCCGAGAAAAAAGAUUACUUCAAGAUGGUCUAAGGAGAUAGAUUAUCCACCAGAAGAGAAAGAGGCCUAUUUCGAGGAAAGAAGAAUUGAGUAUUCUGCUACUCAUCUCUCAAGAGAGGAUGCUGAAUAUGAUGAUGAGAUCAGAGAGGACUAUGAAGAUCCUCUCUAUCACCCAUUUUCUUCUUAAUGAGUGUGAGGAGUCAAGCUAGAGACUUUAAACAAGCUCACUUGGGAGGAAUUCCCAAGACUGUUUCUGUAAAUAAAACUUUUAUUUUCUUGUUAUUUUUGAUUUGUUUUUGGUUGUGUUUGUGAUUCUCAGGAACAGAGAAACAGCGUGGAGGUAGAGUAAAAAUUUAAAAAUUUUACUCUACAGAGCAACAGGAGAACGAGUAUGUCAGAAAUUCAAGAGUUUGAAAAACUUUUGUUGCACUAAGAGGCCAUGAGGUCGAGUAAGUUUGGUCGAGUAUUAGUGAUGAUUUUAAAAAAACCCAAAAUUUUUAAAUCAUAUCUAUACUCGACCAACAGAAGCUACAGAGACUUGCAGGGAGUUUAACAAGUUUACAGAGGAUUACAGAAGGUUCUAGUCAACAGAGAACAGCGCUUCAGGACAAACAGACAGAGCGUGGCCAACCACCUCUCACCUUUGUUCCCCCACGCGUUUUUAGAGAUAACAAAAUCUCUUCCCUCUUUCCCAACCACUCGAUCUCACUCUAUCCCUAUCCUCUCCCACCGACAUCAUCUCUCUCCCUCUCCAAACACUCGACCAAGAAGAUUCACUCUACCUCACGUUUCUCACUCGACCAAACCUCACCAUCUCUCUUCCUCUCCAAGCACUUGACCGCACCAUCACACUCGACCUCACCGUUCACUCGAUCUCUCCCCUCCGGCUUCACCAUCUCUCGCUGCUUUGUCACCCUCUCACUCGACCAAACCUCACUCGUCAUCUCUCGCACCGCCUCCCAUUUACUCGAUUGCAACGCCCUCCUCUCCAUCCGCCGCUUUCUCGACCUCGUCGUCCCAGCUCUCACUGCUCACGCCUCCGCCCUCUCUCUCUCAUUCACUCGACGACGGGACAGGUUUCAUCUUCACUCAACCGCUACUCGACUUCUUUCACUCGACCGCAUCGCAAUUUGGACAAAGAGGCUCUUCAUUCGAUUUUCGAUAAACGGCCAGAGUUUCUCUCUCUCGUUCUCGCAAGCUAACUCGACUUCGCCGGAGCUUCUCGUCGUUCACUCGACCACUCCGCCCUUCACUCCGCCGGACUCUCACCGUCGCCUCCUUUUCACUCGAUCUCGCCGCUCCAACUUCAACAUUCCUCACUCGAUCUCGCCUCCCAUUCACUCGACCGCAAGAGCACCUCAGCCUCUACUUCGAUCUCUUUCUCUCAACUCUCCGUUCUCACCGUUCACUCGACCUCGCCAUUCACUUCGCCUCCGUUCAUCUCUUCACUCGACCGCUCCUCAAACCGCCACCGUCUUCUCUCCAUUCGACAUUUACUCGGCCACACAGUCACCGUUUCUCAUUCUCUUCCACUCGACCACAAAAUUUGAACACACAAUUUGACUAUACUCGACCGGUUACUCGACCGUGAACUUGAUUGGUUUAGUGUUUGUGUUUAUUUGGACUAACAUAUUGAUAUUUGGUUUUAAGUUACAUUAUUUUUCAGGAAAUCAAUAUGAGUAACUACAGUGGCGAAUCCUCCAUGGAUGCAGAUUACAACGUCGAUGAAGCUGAAUCUUGGUCAACUGGACCAGAGAGAGAGCGACAGGCUUAUGAGAGCUUUAGAGCUGAGACCCAACGCUCAGUAGCUCGACGCAAUGAGAAGAGAGCUGAGAUUGCUAGAGAAAGAGAGCAAUGACCAGCAGAUAUGAGUUGAUCGACGAAGAUAUUGACGUCGAGUAUGAGCCUGAGUCAUGGCACAGAGAAACGAAGCUGUUGAACAAGCCUGAUGAACGACUUCUGGGGAACGAGGUACCCCUGUUAUGAGACUUUAGCAUAGCUGGGGCUACUGGAGGACGUACAUCACUUAUUCGAGAAGUGCCAUCUGGAGACGCUGAUGUCUUACCCGUACGUCGCUUACAAGAAGGAAACAAUAGAGUUUCUCUUCACUCUGCAAGUGGAGAUGUAUCAGGGACUUACAGCAGAUGAGCUGGAGAGUGAAGGGUUGGGGUUCUUGACUUUUUCAGUGAACGAGCAGCGUUACCAGCUAUCUAUCAAGAGCUUGGAAGGAUUAUUUGGUUUUCCCAGUGGAAAGGGAACUAAACCCAAGUUCGAGAGGGAAGAGUUGAAGGAUUUGUGGUUAACCAUUGGGAACGAUUUGGCGCUCAACUUUGCAAGGUCUAAGAGCAACCAGAUUCGUAGCCCUGUGAUCCGCUACUAUCAGCGCUCAGUAGCGAAUGUUCUGUACCCCAGGGAAUCUACAGGCACCGUGUUUAACACAGACAUGGAGAUGAUUGAUUCUCCACUCAAGGGCAUUCUCCGGAGAACAAAGGGGAAGAAGGUCCUAAAGGGCGACCUUAAUGAUGCACCACCGGUUAUGCUUCUGUUGAUCCACCUAUGUGGAUACAGGAAGUGGGCGCACACCAACGGGAAGAAGAAGGUGCGAGGAGCCCUUUGUGUAGGUGGCGUUGUGACACCGAUUCUGAUUGCAUGUGGUGUACCUCUCACGUCUCCAAGGUUUGAUCCGAGGAUGAUGGAUUUAGAUCACUUGCGUUGUUGUGAGUUUCUGGAGUAUGAUAUGGUUGGCGAUUUCUAUCGCUACAAAUUCGAGCACUCCCUGAUCCGAACAGCCAACAUUUUGCUUCCCUGCAUCGAGGCCACGACCAUACUUCAGGGUAGGAACAUUGACUUCAAACCUGCACGUGAUUACCUCUACUUUGAGAGCGCUCCACCGACUGAUGAUAAUGUCCCUACGACGGAAGCUAUAGAGGAUGAUAUUGCUGAGACGGAUGAGGAUAGGGAGGAGGAGUACGAUACGAGCAUGUAUCAUUUCAGAGAGCACGUACCUCCAGCGCGGGAGAGCAAGAGCUUGAGUGAAGCUCACAGAAACAACAGUAAGUUGCAGAGGUGGUGCAAGAAACAAGAUAGGCUACUCAUCAAGUGCUUCAAAGCCAUCACGUUUCUGACAGACAAGCUUAGCUGCUUCUCUUCUACCACAGCUAUUCCGCAGGGAGAGCGUCCUCAGGACAUGCCUUCGAGGAGAUAUGACGCGCCAGGGCCAAGUCAUCACAGGCCUGAGCCAAGUCACCACAAGCCUGAGCCUAGUGACCGAGUAGUCCCACCAGUCCCUGCAAGGCAUUCAUCAUUCGAGCCUCGGGAGCUCGGGAGAAAGAAGAAGGCUGCACUCGCUCGGUCUGGCAGCAGGAGUACACGACUUCUCCAGUCCCGUAGCUUACGCGACCGCGGUGCUGGCCGCAGCAGAAGAAGAGAGGUCGAGUAUCAUCAGAGCGGUGCUGGCCGCGACGAAGGAGCAGAGGUCGAGUACCCCCAGGGGGAAGCUGAGACACAGCAGGGAGAUUCUUCGAUGGCCUGGGAGCAAUCACAGGCAGCUAUUGGCGACCAACUUCGCUCCUUCUUCCACUGAGGUAUGCACCUCACUCCACCAUUGUAAUAUACCAUCUCUUGUUUUUAUUUUGUUUUUGUGAUGUGUUUUGUCCUAAGUACUCUCUUCCAAAUUUGGUCACACAGUGGACUGUGUGAUUUAAGUUUGGGGGAGGGCUCAGAAAGUGUGUAUUGCAUUGUAUAUAAUCUUGAGUCUGCAUUCAUCUAAGGCAUAGAAAAGAACCAAAAAAAUUGAAAAAUUUCAGAAAAUGAUUUCACAAAAAUAGAGUGUUCAUGUAGUUGCAUUGCAUUUAGGAUCGAGUCUAGAGUGUUUCGUUUAGGAUUGUUGCAUAUGCAUAGGGGAUAAUGAUGAGAUAGCCUUGUAAGCAUUUUGGUUCACCAGAUAAGCUCAGUGCCCUCGUUGUUAGUUGUUUGAUGCGUUGUCAUUGAAAUUGAAGUAAAACUGCACCAUGCCUAGAUUGCUCUACUCGACCACACUGUUAGGAUCUGAUAUCAUUCCCUAUCAAUUUGAACUUGAAUCUGAUUUAGAAUUAUCAUGUCUUGGCAUCGAAUUUGAACUCAUGGAUACCCUAAAAUACUUGGAUUUUCUUACUCCUUUUAACCACUCUUGUUGAUCCAAAUAGCUGACUCUCCUUAUUAGAGCAGUUAACCCGAACCCAAACAUGAACUUUCUUUCAAGCCCUAUAUCACUUGUGAGUGUUUGUGAGGUCUUAUUUCGAUUGAGCUUGGUAAAAAGUGUUAGCUUCGUAACGACAGAGAUAGUGUCUCAUGUAGUUCUAGUUCGCGUUCUUCGGACUGGAUAGGACUAGGUGGGCGCUUAUAUCAUGGGUUGGGAUGUCUUUAAAAGAAAAGGGUGAAUUUAUUGUUGAUAAGGAAAGGGAAAGAAUUCUAGGGGAAGUAAGCUAAAGAAGUUAGAAAAAAAUCUAGUAAAGGUUUUGGGAAUGUUAAAGAAAAGAAUGAGGUUCUUGUUAGCUAAAGAAGAAGGGUUAAAAGCCUUUGGUUUUAAAGAUUUAAAACAGGAACCUUAGUUGUUAAAGAAAUCCAAAUCCGCUAGAUGUAUCAGAGUGUUGAGAAAGCUUCUCCUAGAGUUAAGAGAAAAUAAAAGAAUGAUAUGAAAAAGAGUUUGAAAGAUUCAUGAGUGCAAAUGGUAGAGUUAAGUUGGGACAGGAGUUGGGAUUACCAUUAGAACUUCAUUGCUAUACUCUGGGUAGAUGGGAUCUUAUCUCUGUAUGCAUAACUUGGGACUUACCUUUAGCAUUCUACUAAAGCUCAAUCAUUCUUGAGGGAUCCCCUGUUACUUAAGCCUAUUCUGUAAGGGACCAUCUUUGUCUCUUGACCUUCACCUUAGCCAAAUGAGUUCAUUGAUGAUGCAUUGCUUGAUUCACGUUCCAGAACUAAUGAAUGUUAAAGGGAUUGGUAGAUUUGAAAGCAUGUGUAGGUCGAGUAUAAGAGACGGAUUGAUUGAUAACAAGGCAUGGCUAACGUUUUUGAGUAAAAUUCAAUCAUAUCGCAUCUUAGAACUACCAAUUUGGACAUUGAUUUUAUUUGCUCUAACAUAUGCUUUGGUUCUGAGUCCCCGCCUUCAAACCUCUCCUUCAACUAUGUCUUCUUAUUUGCUUGAGGGCAAGCAAAGACUAAGUUUGGGGGAGUUGAUAUGUCUAUAAUUUGCAUGUUUUCAGUGUCCAUUCAUCAUCGUUUUGAGUCCAGUUUCGUAUCAUUCAUCACUAUUUUAUAUCAUUUCUCAUCAUUCUUGCAUACUUUGCAUGAUUAGGAUAACUUUGCAUACAUAUUGCAUUUCUGAGUUGUUUUCAGGUGAUUUGGAGCUGUUUGCGAGCAAAUUGGAAGAAACGAGCCAGAACCAGAAGACAUACUCGACCCCCAGGUCGAGUGACUUUGGAGUCAUUCUUCCCACCUACUCGACCACUUGGUCGAGUAUCCUCAGCUCAGGCUACUCAAUGACACUACUCGAUCCCCUGGUCGAGUAUCACUUCGCCACACCACCUGACAACACUCGACCGUUCACUCUACCACAUCACUCGACCCCAUGGUCGAGUAUCACUUCGCCACACCACCUGACAACACUCGACCGUUCACUCUACCACAUCACUCGACCCCAUGGUCGAGUAUCACUUCGCCACACCAUCACCAUCACUCGACCGGACACUCGAUCACGUCUUCACAGUCUACUCAAAUCCGCACUCAACCAGACAAGCUGAGCACAAGGAAGAGAAGAGGAGAAGACAAAGUGUUUAGAAGCGGCUUGGACCUCCAUCGGAUCACGAAGCCCAUCUCGGCCCAUUAUCUUUCUAUGGGCCGGGUAAUUAGGUUAUUGGCCUGUUUACCAUCAUUUUAUUUUGUUUUGUAUUAAUAGAUGUCUUAGGGUUCUGUCCUGAGACAUCCAGUCGACAUUGAGUUUUUGCUUCAGUUUUAUUUCUGUUUUACUUUGCUGCGCCGCUUUUGCUUCUACAACCUGUAAUUCGAGACUUUUCCAAGUUAUUCAGAUUCCGCUUUUGAUUUCAUCUGUCAUCUUGUUUCUAUACUCUUUAUCUCUUUACUUAUGCAAUAUUAUCGUUUACCUGCGUUUAUGUCUUUAAGCAUGUUGUCUGAGUAGUGACUUAGAAUUAUUAGGGAUGGGAUAGAGUAGUUGUGGAAUCCGUAGUCUGUAGAAUGGUUAAGUUUUAGAAUUGAUUGUAUCCCUUUAGAACUAGUUGUGUUUACUGCUUAUUUUUUUCUGAUCAACUGGAAUUCGAUCCCAAGCAUUCCCGCACCCAGAAGGUGUUCGAUGGAAUGCUUGAUCCACUAGUUCCUGAGAUAUGCGUCUCUAUCCCAAGGGAUUGGCCGUUUAGAGCGUUUAUUGACUUUAUCAGUCUGUUCUUAUUGCUUGCAUAGUUAGAUUCCGUUAAUGGGAAUUAGUCUAGGCUAGCUUUGCUUGAGGAUUUCUAUCACGGGAGUGAAUUAAUCUGUUGUUGAACCUGUUGUCUAGGGAUAGCUUGAUUGCGCUUGUUAACCAUUCUAAUAGGCUAGGAUACCACUCUACUCGAUUACCCCAUCCUUAGGAGUUUCUUGUCUAUCUUAUUUCUCUGUUUUAUCGUUAUCGCUUAAUCGUUCUCAUUGCCUGUUUCUUAGUUUUUGUAAUUACUCGACCAACAUACUCGACCACACCCAGUGUCUGGCAACAGACUGUGCAGUGGAGUGCAGUUGUUUCAUUUCCUGUUUGUUACUCGACCAGUAUACUCGACCACACCUAGUGUCUGGCAACAGACUGUGCAGUCGAGUAUAUCUGUUUCAUAUCCUGCCUGUUACUCGACCACAUCCUACUCCUGGCAUCAGCCUGUUGUGGUCGAGUGAUUUUAGUAAUUCUGUUAUUGUUUCUGUUUUCUACAUGUUCACUUAGGACUGUUAGAAACCCCAAAACCGUUAUUGAUUGGCUUGACUUAGUGACUUCUCAUCACAUCUCAUUUGUCUGCAUCACACCCAUUUGGAUUGACACCUAAAAUACUACAAUGACAUGAUUGGUGUUUUAGGAUAAUUGACCAUAAAAACCUAUUAUCAGAAACUUAUCCCAAAAUUUAAAGUAGUGUUUCCAUGCUAGAAGAUACAAAGCAAAAGAUUCAUAAGGACUUCGACAUCACCAUCAAAGCCUUAGGAAGCAUGAAGAAGCUUGGUUAUUGUUUUGGAGACAAAUAUGACUAGAUGACAUGUGUAUGAUUGAGUAUAAGAACUCGAACCGCAACCGGAUCUUGAAAGUCCAAGUAGUGUUUCCUUAUUAGAAGGUACAAAGACAAAGACUCAUACGGACUUUGGGUACACCAUCAAAACUUUGGGAAGCAAGAAGAAGCCUGGUUAUUGUUUUGGAGUCAAAUAUGACUUGAUGUCAUGUGUAUGAUGGAGUAUCAGGACAAGAAUUGCAAUCGGAUCUUUAAAGCCUAAGUAGUGUUUCCUUGUUAGAAGAUACAAGCCAAUGAAUCAUACGGACUUUAGCUACACCAUCAAAGCUUUGUGAAGCAAGAAGAAGCUUAGUUAGUGUUUUAGAGUCAAAUAUGACUUGAUGUCAUGUGUAUGAUUGAGUAUACGAACUAGAACCACAACCGGAUCUUAAAACCCAAAUUAGUGUUUCCUUGUUAGAAGAUACAAAGCUAAAGACUCAUGUGGACUUUGGUAAUACUAUUAAAGCGUUGAGAAUCAAUAAGAAGCUUGGUUAGUGUUUUGGAGUCAAAUAUGACUAGAUGUCAUGUGUAUGAUUGAGUAUAAAAACUGGAACUGCAACCCGAUCUUAAAACCUAGUUAGUGUUUCCCUUUUAGAAGAUACAAAGCCAAAGACUCAUACGGACUUCAGCUACACCAACAAAGCUUUGAGAAGCAAGAAGAAACUUGGUUAGUGUUUUCGAGUCAAAUAUGACUUGAUGUCAUGUGUAUGAUUGGGUAUAAGAACUAGAACCGCAACCGGAUCUUAAAAGCCUAAGUAGUAUUUAGAAGAUACAAAGCCAAACAUUCAUACGGACUUUGGUUACACCAUUAAAGCUUUGUGAAGCAAGAAGAAGCUUUGUUAGUGUUUUGGAGUCAAAUAUGACUAGAUGUCAUGUGUAUGAUUGAGUAUAAAAACUGGAACUGCAACCCGAUCUUAAAAGCCUAGUUAGUGUUUCCUUGUUAGAAGAUACAAAUCCAAAAACUCAUACGGACUUCAGCUACACCAACAAAGCUUUGCGAAGCAAGAAGAAACUUGGUUAGUGUUUUCGAGUCAAAUAUGACUUGAUGUCAUGUGUAUGAUUGGGUAUAAGAACUAGAACCGCAACCGGAUCUUAAAAGCCUAAGUAGUAUUUGUUUUUUAGAAGAUACAAAGCCAAACAUUCAUACGGACUUUGGUUACACCAUUAAAGCUUUGAGAAGCAAGAAAAAGCUUGGUUAUUGUUUUGGAGUCAAAUAUGCCUAGAUGUCAUGUGUAUGAUUGAGUACAAGAACUCGAACCGCAACUGGAUCUUGAAAGCCCAAGUAGUGUUUCCUUGUUAGAAGAUACAACGCCAAUGACUCAUACGGAUUUCGGCUACACCAUCAAAUCUUUGAGAAGGAACAAGAAUCUUGGUUUGUGUUUUGGAGUUAGAUAUAAAUUGAUGUCAUGUCUAUGGUUGAGUAUUAGAACUUGAACCGCAAACGGAUCCGAAAAGGAAAAGUAGAGUUUCCAUGCGAGAAGAUACAAAGCCAAAGACUCAUACGGACUUCGACAUCACCAUCAACGCCUUAGGAAGCCAGAAGAAGCUUGGUUAGCUUUUUGGAGUCAAAUAUGACUAGAUGACAUGUGUAUGAUUGAGUAUAAAAACUCAAAUCGCAACCGGAUCUUGAAAGCCCAACUAGUGUUUGUUUGUUAGAAGAUACAAAGCCAAAUACUCAUACGGACUUUGGCUACACUAUCAAAGCUUUGAAAAGCAAGAAGAGGCUUAGUUAGUGUUUUAGAGUCAAAUAUGACUUGAUGUCAUGUGUAUUAUUGAGUAUAAGAACUAGAACCACAACCGGAUCUUAAAAGCCUAAGUAGUGUUUCCUUGUUAGAAGAUACAAAGCCAAUAAAUCAUGCGGACUUUAGCUACACCAUCAAAGCUUUGUGAAGCAAGAAGAAGCUUAGUUAGUGUUUUAGAGUCAAAUAUGACUUGAUGUCAUGUGUAUGAUUGAGUAUAACUAGAACCACAACCGGAUCUUAAAACCCAAAGUAGUGUUUCUUUGUUAGAAGAUACAAAGCUAAAGAUUGUUGUGGACUUUGGUAACACUAUUAAAGCGUUGGGAAUCAAGAAGAAGCUUGGUUAGUGUUUUGGAGUCAAAUAUGACUAGAUUUCAUGUGUAUGAUUGAGUAUAAAAACUAGAACUGUAACCCGAUCUUAAAAUCCUAAGUAGUGUUUCCUUGUUAGAAGAUACAAAGCCAAAGACUCAUACGGACUUCAGCUACACCAACAAUGCUUUGAGAAGAAAGAAGAAGCUUGGUUAGUUUUUUGGAAUCAAAUAUGACUUGAUUUCAUGUUUUUGAUUGGGUAUAAGAAGUAGAACCGCAACCGGAUCUUAAAAGCCUAAGUAGUAUUUCUUUUUUAGAAGAUACUCUAGUUUAGAGAUGUGUUUCUAGUUUAGAGAUGUGUUUAAGAACUCAAAGUAAAGAAUAACUCUCUUUAAUCUCUUUAGGAAAAUUACUCAAAACCUAAAGCUAUUGAUCUCUUCACAAUCUCUAAAAACCCAUAAGGUUAACCACAACUUGGUAACUCUUAUAUAGAGAUCAAUAGAUAAUUCUAGAAUAAACAUUUAGAUUAAUAUUAGAUAACUCCUAAUAAUAUCUUUAGGUAAUGAUAUGUCUAUAAUUUGCAUGUUUUACACAUCUUUUUAUCACCAUUUUGAGUCUAGUUUCAUCCAUCUUUCAUAGCAUUUGAUAAUAGGUUUUUAAUUAAUUAAACCUAAAGCACUAUCAUGUCGUUGUAAUACUGAAGGUUGUCAAUCCAAAUGGGUGUGAUGCUAACAAUCAAGAUGUGAUCAGAAGUCACUAAGUCAAGCCAAGCAAUAACAGGUUGUGGUGUGUUCUAGCAGUUCUAAGUGAACAUGGAGAAAAUAGAAAUUCAAGCAGAAACAGUAAAACACUCGACCAACACAGCUCUUUGCAGAGCACUGGGUGAGGUCGAGUGACAGGUCGAGUAACAGACAGAAAAUAAAAUACAGAUACUCGACUGCACAGUCUGUUACCAGACAAUUGGGUGGUCGAGUAACAAGAAAGAACUGCAGAAAUUACGCGACAGAUAACAAGAUGCAGUAAAUAACAGUGGAGUAAACACAGAAUUCAAUCAGAUAAAGAAUUCCUGAGGAUGGGGUAAUUGAGUAGUUUCGUUUCCUCAGUUUACAGGUGAUUGACAUGCUCAAUAAAUUAACCCUAGACAACAAGUUCAUUAACCAAAUCUAAGUGCCACCGCAACAGAGACUCUCAAGUUAACCUAGUCCCAGACUCAAUCACCAUUGACGAGAGAUAACCUAACAGGCAUUACGAAUCAACAAGUUAAAGCCAAAACGCUCCUUGCAACCAAUACCUUGGUACAGGGUCACGAAACUCUGGAAUUAGUGGUUCAGACAUUUCAUCGAACACCUUUUGGGCGCGGAAAUGUCUGGGCUCAAAUUCCAGUUGAUCAGAAAGCAAUAGGGAUUAAGAACAACUAAUCCAGAAGGGAUAUAUCAACCAAUACUCAAUCACCUAGCAUAUUGAGAAUUCUACACUACUCUAACCCAUCCUCAGAAACCUAUUCACUACUCAGACAUCAUAACAGUAAGCAUAAACGUUGAACAAGUUGAAAACAUGAUAACAACUGUGUAACAACAAGAUGAUAACAGAAUGAACAACAGUAAACGAAAUCAAGAACAAAAGCUGAAUACUGAAUACUAAAUAGAUAAAGAGAAAUCUGGAUUACAAAAGGUCUAGAACACAAGGUCUACGGAAUAAAACUAGAUAAAAACUUGUCUGCCAAAAUGUGAAGUACAUGCUACUUACAGCCAAAUAUUCCGAAACCCUAAUACUUAAAACGACGCAGUAUUGGGACGGAUUAAGAACUGUACUCGACCCAUGUGGUCGAGUGGGAGGUCGAGUGAAUAGCUGGAGUCUUCUUUUCUUCCUUGUGCUCGAGUGUCUGGUUGAGUGCGGAAUGAAGAAGGCUCUGAAGCUUGUCAUCGAGUAUGUAGUCGAGUGGUGGUGAUGGUGAUACUCGACUUCCACGUAGAGUGAAGAGGUCAAGUAGUGGUCUGGCAAUGAAGGUGAAGACACUCGGCCUCAGGGUCGAGUGACGUGAUCGAGUGAUGGUCAGGUGAUGGGAUGAAGACACUCGACCUCGUGGUCGAGUGAUGUGGUGAAGUAGUGAUGUCCUCUACUCGACCAGGGGGUCGAGUGAUCUGUUGAGAUCUUGAAGCUCCUAAUCGACCUCGGGGUCAAGUCGUUUGAUAUGAUCAGGCCCGCUUCUUCCAGAUAGCUUGUCAACAGCUCCAAAUCACCUGAAAUCAACGCAAAUAUGCAACAUGCAUGCAAAUCUAUCCAAAAAUUGUAAAGUGAUGACAAAUGAUGAGAAAUUGUAUAAAACAGUGAUGAUAUGAUGCUAAAGUGAUGACAAAUGGAUGCUCAAAACAUGCAAAAUACACACUUAUCAGCAUUCACCAUCAUUUUCAUACAUUUUGCAUCUUAAGUCGAGUCUAGGACUAGUCUUGCAUACAUUCUGCAUUCUGGAGUUGUUUCAGGUGUUUUGGAGCUAUUGGUGCUCAGAAAGAGGGAAAACAAAACAGAAAGUCACACUUCCACCAAACAUACUCGAUCACCAGUAGCAGAGAGGGAAGCAGUCAGCUCAGUAGUCCAUCCAGACACUUCUACUCGAUCACAGAGGAGACCAGGCAGUCCAUUCUGCCAGAUAUACUCGACCGUAGAGGAGAGGAGGCAGUCCAUUCUGCAAUUCUACUCUAUCGCAGAGGCAACCAUGCAGUCCACUUUGCCAGUCCACCAGUUAUACUCGAUCGCAGAGGAGAAGAACCAGUACAUCCUGACAGCUGACACACUUACUCGAUCACAGAGGCCAAGAAGCAGCCCAGAUCAUUCUGUCAACCAACCUACUCGACCACCACCUCGACCCUCUGAUCAAUCCGCACUCAACCAGAUAACCUGAGCAUCGGAAAGAGAAGAGAAGAGAAGAGAAGGCCCAUUCGAAACCCAUUCAAAGCCCAUCAGGAAGCCCACUUUGAGCCGACACUCUUGAUCACGCCGUCCAUGGGCCGUUAAGUGGGCUCGAAGCCGAGUUAACAUCUACAGGUCACCAAGUUUACUCGACCAUGGAGGCAUCCCAACUGCCCGUUUUCACUCGAUCACCAAGGCGACACUUUAGACCAUUUCUCAGACCAAUAUACUCGACCGUCGGACCAAACGUCAUGUGAACCCUGCGAUCGAGUAUCAUGCACCAGAGGAGGAGGAACAACAACAAGGUCCCAGUAUUCCAUGGGAUUACACCAGAGAGGAGAUGGCACACACAACCAUCAUUGUAUAUACCAUUUUCUGUUUUCGUUUUGUUUUAGUGUCUCUUGAACUCUUCUUUAGACUUCUAUUACACAAGGGACUGUAUAGUUUAAGUUUGGGGGAGGAUUCAAGAAGUAUUUAACAUGUUUGCUAGUGAGUCUUAUUUGCAUCAUUUGAGUCUUAACUUCAUCUAAGACAUAGAAAAAAAAUAAAAAAAAAAUGAAAACAUUUCUGAAAAUGUAUUCCACAAAAACAGAGUGUUCAUAUAGUUGCAUCACAUUUAGGAUUGAGUCUAGGAUGUUUCAUAUAGGAUUGUCGCAUAUGCAUUGGGGAUUAUGAUGAGAUAGCCUUGUAAGCAUUUUUGUUCAUCGUUUCUAGUUGUCUGAUGUGUAGUCAAUGAAAUUGAAGUAAAACUGCACCAUGUCUUGAAUGCUCUACUCGAUCACACUGUUAUUAUCUGAUACCAUUCCCUAUCAAUUUGAACCUGAAUCUGACUUGCAAUUAUCAUGUCUUAGCAUCGAAUUUGAACUCAUGGAUACCAUAUACAUACUUGGGUUUUCUUUAAACUUUUCACCACCCUUGCUAACCCAAGUAGCUGCUUCCAUCAUUGAAGUAGUUUCCCUUGCCCUUAACCAAACCUUUCUUUCGAGCCCUGUUAUAUAUCGUGUGCGAUUGUGAGGCCUGUUUCAGGAUUGAGCUUGGAAGAAAGUGUUAGGUUUGAGCCGACAAGAGUAGUGUCUCAUGUAGUUCUAGUCCACGUUUUCUGGGCUAGAUAGGACAAGGUGGGUGUCUAUUCUUGAAGUGGGGAUCGAGUAUAUGAGAAAAUAAGAGAGAAAGGAAAUGUUGAUGUUCUUAGGAGAAGGAAGUUGAGAAACAAGUUAGUCUAGUAAUGGAUUUUGGGGAACUAAAAAAAAAAUAGGCUCACAACAAAAGAAAAAAAGUCUAGAAAAGUCUUGAUCACAAGAAGAUAACAUGAGCCAUAGUUGUCAAAGAAAACCAAAGUCCACUAGAUCCAACAAAGUAAAAGAAACUUCUCCUUAGAAUAAGAGUCAAAGAAAAGAAAGAGUGGUUUGAUCCAAGAUAAGAAUGAGAAAAAAAUGCCUUGAGUGCAAAGGGUAGAACUAGGAUCAUAUUCUGGGCUUAAGGGUAGUACCAUCUGCUGGUGUAUACACUGUGUAUGUUUUUGGGUAGAUGGGAUACUAUUCUUGUAUGCAUAGGUUGGCUCUUACCUUUAGCAUUCUCCUAAAGCUCAGUCCAUUUCUUUUCAGAGUCCCCUGUUACUAAACUUGAACCACCAGAAAGGGACCAUCUGUGUCUCUUGACCUUCACCUUAGCCAAAUGAGUUCAUUGAUGAUGCAUAGCUUGAUUCACGUUCCUAAUCUAAUGAAUGUUAAAGGGAUUGGUAGAUUUGAAAGCAUGUGUAGGUCGAGUAUAAGAGUGGGAUUGAACUAUAAUAAGGCAUGGCUAACGUUUUUGAGUAGAGUUCGAUAAUAUGGCAUCCUAGAACUGCCAACUUGGACAUUGAUUCUAUCUGAUUUAUUUGAUGCUUUGGUUCUGAAUCCCCACCUUCAAACCUCUCCUUCAGCUUAUGUCUACUUGUUUGCUUGAGGGCAAGCAAAGACUAAGUUUGGAGGAGUUGAUAUGUGUAUAAUUUGCAUGUUUUACACAUCCUUUAAUCACCAUUUUGAGUCUAGUUUCAUCCAUCUUUCAUAGCAUUCACCAUCAUUUUCGUACAUUUUGCAUCUUUAGUCGAGUCUAGGACUAAUCUUGCAUACAUUCUACAUUCUGGAGUUGUUUCAGGUGUUUUGGAGCUAUUGGUGCUCAGAAAGAGGGAAAACAGAACAGAAAGUCACACUUCCACCAAACAUACUCGAUCACCAGUAGCUGAGAGGGAAGUAGUCAGCUAAGCAGUCCAUCCAGACACUUCUACUCGAUCAUAGAGGAGACUAGGCAGUCCAUUCUGCCAGAUAUACUCGACCGCAGAGGAGAGGAGGCAAUCCAUUCUACAAUUCUACUCUAUCGCAGAGGCGACCAUGCAGUCCACUUUGCCAGUCCACCAGUUAUACUCGAUCGUAGAGGUGAAGAACCAGUACAUCCUGACUGCUGACACACUUACUCGAUCACAGAGGCCAAGAAGCAGCCCAGAUCAUUCUGUCAACCAACCUACUCGACCACCACCUUGACCCUCUUAUCAAUCCGCACUCAACCAGACAACCUGAGCAUCGAAAAGAGAAGAGAAGAGAAGGCCCAUUCGAAGCCCAUUCGAAACCCAUUCGAAGCCCAUCAAGAAGCCCACUUUGAGCCGACACUCUUGAUCACGCCGUUCAUGGGCCGUUAAGUGGGCUCGAAGCCCGCUUUCUUAUUUUAGUAUAAAUAAGUCUCUAAGGGUUUCGCCCUGGGACAUGCACUUUUAGAGACACGAAUUUUGCACUAUUAUUCAGCAGCCGCUUUUCAUUCCUGCAAUUUUAUAUUUCGAUUUUUCUUCUAAGUCAUUCAGAUUUUGCUUUCAUUUGCUUGUUCAUCUUUCGUUUCUAUGUUAUUGUCUUUAAGCAUGUUGUCAGAGUAGUGACUCAGAAUUCUUAAGGAUGGGUUAGAGUAGUUGUGGAAUCCGUAGUCUGUAGAAUGGUUAAGUCUUAGAAUUGAUUGAAUCCCUUCAGGACUAGUUGUGUUUACUGCUUAUUUCUUUCUAAUCAACUGGAAUUCGAUCCCAAGCAUUCCCGCACCCAGAAGGUGUUCUAUGGAAUGCUUGAUCCACUAGUUCCUGAGAUAUUCGUCUCUAUCCCAAGGGAUUGGCCGUUUAGAGCGUUUAUUGACUUUAUCAGUCUGUUCUUAUUGCCUGCAUAAUUAGAUUCCGUUAAUGGGAAUUAGUCUGGGCUAGCUUUGCUUGAGGAUUUCUAUCAAGGGAGUGAAUUGAUCUGUUGUUGAACCUGUUGUCUAGGGAUACCUUGAUUGCGCUUGUUAACCAUUCGGAUAGGCUAGGAUACCACUCUAUUCGAUUACCCCAUCCUUAGGAAUUUCUCGUCUAUCUGAUUUCUCUGUUUUAUCGUUAUCGCUUAUUCGUUCUCAUUGCCUGUUUCUUCGUUUUUGCAAUUACUCGAUCAACUUACUUGACCACACCCAGUGUCUGGUAACAGACUGUGCAGUCGAGUACAGUUGUCUCAUUUCCUGUCUGUUACUCGACCAGAAUACUCGACCACACCCAGUGUCUGGCAACAGACUAUGCAGUCAAGUAUAUCUGUUUCAUAUCCUGUCUGUUACUCGACCACAUCCUACUUCUGGCAUCAGCCUGUUGUGGUCGAGUGAUUUUAGUAAUUCUAUUAUUGUUUCUGUUUUCUGCAUGUUCGCUUAGGACUGUUAGAAACCCCAAAACUGUUAUUGCUUGGCUUGACUUAGUGACUUUUGAUCACAUCUCAUCUGUUUGCAUCACACCCAUUUGGAUUGACACCUAAAAUACUACAACGACAUGAUUGGUGUUUUAGGAUAAUUGACCAUAAAAAACUACUAUCAGAUAACUCCCAAAGAUUUAAUCUAAUCCUUCUCAAAACUAAAUAACUUAUUUCUUAAGUAAUACUCAAGCUUACUCCAACAAUCUCCCCUUUAAGCUUGAGAUCACUCCUCUUCACUUCUUGAACACCCAUAAGAUCUCUCAUCUCUUUAAACUUCAUUCUCCCAAGUGCUUUAGUUAGGAUGUCUGCCUUUUGCUCAUUCCCCGGAACAUGCUCUACUUCCACUUGUCCAUUUUCGACGCAUUCUCUUAUGAAGUGGUAACGCCUAUGAAUGUGCUUGCUUCAGCCAUGGAAGACCGGAUUCUUGGUAAGGGCGAUUGCUGAUUUGUUGUCGAUUCUUAUGAGCACCUUCUCGCUUGGUUCUCCUAUAACUUCACUAAGCAAGUCUUGAAGCCAAAUUGCUUGCCUAGCUGCUUCUGUUCCUGCCAUAAACUCUGCUUCACAUGAGGACAUUGCCAUUGUUUCUUGUUUCUGUGAACACCACGAGAUGGGACUCUCUCCAAGGUAGGAAAUGUGACCGGCUGUACUCUUGCCAUCAUCAGGAUCAACAUUGUGGUUGCUGUCACUAUAGCCUACUAGCUUUGGUAUCUUUUCACUUGAUCGUUUAAAUACCAAACCGAGUGUAGUCGUACCUUUCAAGUACCUCAAACAUUGUCUCAUUGCAGCACCAUGUGAUUCAUUUGGAUCUUGCAUGUAUCGACUUAACACUCCCACGCAAAAGGACAGAUCCGGUCUUGUAUGAAUUAAAUAGCGAAGGCAACCAACUUUUUUCCUGUAUCCGGUAGCAUCAAUUCCUUCUUCAUGAUGUGAUUUGGACAAUUGCAAACCAGAUUCCAUUGGUAUGUGCAUCAAGUUACAGUCCUUCAUCCCAGCGUCUUCUAAAAUCUUCAUUGCAUAUCGGUGUUGACUUAGUGUGAUUCCUUGCUCUUGUUGACAGACUUCUAUUCCAAGAUAGUACGUCAAUUUUCCAAGAUCACUCAUCUCGAACUUAGAAGCCAUCUCUCUCUUGAAUCCACUAAUACUUCUUUCAUCUGUUCCGGUUAUGAAAAGGUCAUCUACGUACACUACCACAAGAAGAAAAAUAUUCCCACUUACAGUUUUACGAUAUACUGAUGGUUCUUUGGAACACUUCUCGAAUUGUAGUUCUGUAAGAAUCUGAUUCAGCUUAUGGUUCCAUGCUCUCGGUGCUUGUCGUAAUCCAUACAAAGCUUUGUGAAGCCUAUAGACUUUCCCUUCCUAUCCUCUUUCUUCGAAUCCUUCUGGUUGUGUCACAUACACGGUUUCUCUUAGUUCUCCAAGGAGAAAUGCUGUCUUGACAUCAAGAUGGUGUAUCUCCCAACCAUUUGAUGCUGCAAGGUUCACAAGUAGUCGUUUGGUUUCAAGGCGAGCUACGGGAGCGAACACUUCUUCAAAGUCCACUCCAUAGCGCCAAAACGUAACCUUUCGCGACCAAUCGAGCCUUGUAUUUGUUGAUGCUCCCGUCCGAGUUGCGUUUGAGUUUAAAAACCCACUUUAGACCUAUACGUUUAACUCCAUGCGGCAGAUCUUCAAGACUCCAUGUCUUAUUCUUUGUUAUUGAAAACAUCUCUUCUUCACACGCAAGUGUCCACUCUCUGGACUCCUUAGCCUCACUGAAACUGCUCGGUUCGUUAUUCAAUAUUAGAAGUAGCCUUUCUCCUUCUUCUUCUACAAGUAAUGCAUAGUCUUCAAGGUACUUUGGUCUUAUGGUUUGUCUUUGCGAUCUUCUUAGAUUAGGUUGUUGACUUUCUGUUCCAAGAUCAGCAGAGACUUCUUCAUUUUCUGCAAAGGUUUCAUGAUCAUGUUGUUCUUCAUUCACGUGAAUAGGCUGUGUUUGCUCUGUCUCACCAUAUUCGUUGUCUUCUUCUUGUAGACCAUGAUUCCCGAAUUCUCCAAGUGUGACACUGAAGCUUCCAUCUUGUUUAGGUUCGUUGUGAUUCCAAUCCCAUCCUUUUUCUUCAUCGAAUACAACAUCUCUACUCACCACAAUUUUCCGAUUUACUGGGUCAAGUAGACGAUAUGCCUUUGAACCCGGCUCAGUACCUAGAUGAACUAGCUUUCUCGACCUGUCAUCUAGUUUCCUCAAGUGUGGUGUCUCCACUUCUGCGUAUCCAAUGCAGCCAAAUACUGUGAGAUGAUUCACGUUUGGUUUCUUUUGGUAGAAAGCUUCAUAUGGAGUGUUGUCAUUCAACGAUCUUGUAGCUAUCCGGUUCAGCAGGUAGGUGGCGUGUCAUACUGUUUCUCCCCAUAAGUAACUAGGUAUAUGCAUGUGUUUCAUGACACUCCUUGUCAUUUCCAUUAGAGUUCUGUUUCUUCUUUCAAAUACACCAUUCUGUUGUGGUGUAUAUGGAGCAGUAAGAUGUCUUUUAAUACCCGAUUCUUCACAAAACUUAGUGAACUCAUGUGAUACAAACUCUCCUCCUCUGUCUAUUCUGAAAGUCUGAAUUUUGCUUCCAGAUUCUUGUUCAACUAAGACCUUGAAGCGCUUGAAUUUAUUGAGAGCAUCACUUUUCUCCUUAAGUAGAGUUGUCCACAUGUAUCUAGAAUGAUCAUCAAUAAUGACAAAGAUGUACCUGUUUCCUGCAGCUGUGCUUGGUGUUAUAGGACCACAUAAGUCUCCAUGAACGAGUUCAAGUAUCUUGGUGGCUCUGUAUGAGGUUGCUUGCGGGAAAAAUUGCCUUGAUUGCUUCCCAAACAAACAUGAAUCACAAACUUCUUUUUCGAUCUUAACGUGUGGGAUCCCUCUUACUAGCUCCUUUUGUAUCAUUGACUUGAUUGUGUCGAGAUUUAUGUGUCCCAAUCUUGAAUGCCAUCUACUUGAUUCGCUGAGGUUUGUUAGAUAUAGACACAUUGUUCCUCUUUUUGCCAUCCGAACCUUAUUAAGUCGAUUCUUUGAUCUUGUUGCUUUGACAAGUAAUUUUCCCUCUCGGUCAUGCAUUGUUAGAAUGUCAUCCUUCAUUCUUAUGUCACAGCCUGAUUCUCUAGCUUGUCCCAAGCUAAUGAUGUUGCUUUUUAAAUCUGGAAUGAAAUAGACAUCUGACAUUUUUCUUUGUUCGCCAUUCCUGUCAAAAAACGAGAUCGUUCCUUUCCCUUUGAUAUCAAUCCGUGAAUCAUCGCCAAAGCGUACUUUCCCGGUGAUAGAAUUAUCUAUACUAGUGAAGUAUCUUUGAUCUCCUGUCAUGUGGUUACUUGCUCCGUUAUCGAGAUACCAAACAUCAUUCUCUCCAUUGUUAGUUUCAUAGUUGCUUGGAAUACAAUUCUUCUCAUUUAGAUACACAACUUCGUGAACCAUGAGUUCAUCUGCAGUUUGUGUAUCGUCUUUCUCGUUCUCUUGGGCUUCCUGCAACUUGAAAAGACGAUUCGGGCAGUCAGAGGCGUAGUGACCUAAUUUGUCACAUCUAUAGCAAGUUACUUUGGAUGUAUCUCUUCCACCAUUCGACCUUCCUUGUCCUCUUCCUCUGUAAUAAGAGCGUCCUCCUCGACCUCUUCCUCUGUAGCAGUUGUUGUACUCUUGAUUUGUUUGGUAAUCUUGAUUAGUAUACAACAACUUGCUUUGAUCUUCUUGUGGUUCUUCAUCAUCUACCACUCGUUCUUCAUAUACUUUCAUUCGUCCUACAAUGUCUUCAAAUCCGUUUGUGUUAAGAUCAAGAACUUGUUCGAGUGAUGCAACUAUGUGAAUGAAUUUCUUUCGAGGCAGACUUGAGAGAAACUUCUUCACUAGUUUUGGUUCUUCGAUUUGAACUCCUAAAGCUGCAGAUUUGGAUGCAAUUUCUGCUAACUUUCCUACAAAAUCAUCAAUCUUCUCAAUAUCCUUCAUCUUCAAGCGAUCAAAGUCAUUCAUUAGAGUCUGUAGUCUCGCUUCUCUAACUCGUUCUGCUCCCACGUUCCUCGACCGAAUAGCUUCCCAAACCUUCUUUGCUACUUUAAAUUCUCCAAUUUGCAAAGCUAGGGAUUCGGGUAUGGAUUGAAUCAUUAAAGCUAUAGCCAUGAUGUUCUUGUCUGCAUCAACGGGUUCUGUUGACUCUGUUUCAAUAGCUUCCCAGACUUUGUGUACUUGAAGAGCAAUCUCCAUCUUCAUAGCCCAUGCCGUGUAAUUUGUUUGAGUUAGCAUAGGGCAUUGGAUCGAAGAAGUUCCUCCUCCUUCUUUUGGUUUCGUUCCCGACGUAACUAUUUUGCUCAUAUCUUCUCCUUACAAAUUCUUCUUUAUGGUCUCAAGAUUUGUAAGCUCUGAUACCAAUUGUAGUUUAGAGAUGUGUUUAAGAACUCAAAGUAAAGAAUAACUCUCUUUAAUCUCUUUAGGAAAAUUACUCAAAACCUAAAGCUAUUGAUCUCUUCACAAUCUCUAAAAAACGAUAAGGUUAACCACAACUUUGGUAACUCUUAUAUAGAGAUCAAUAGAUAAUUCUAGAAUAAACAUUUAGAUUAAUAUUAGAUAACUCCUAAUAAUAUCUUUAGAUAACUCCCAAAGAUUUAAUCUAAUCCUUCUCAAAACUAAAUAACUUAUUUCUUAAGUAAUACUCAAGCUUACUCCAACAGAUACAAAGCCAGACAUUCAUACGGACUUUGGUUACACCAUUAAAGCUUUGAGAGGCAAGAAGAAGCUUGGUUAGUUUUGGAGUCAAAUAUGCCUAGAUGGCAUGUGUAUGAUUGAGUACAAGAACUCGAACCGCAACUGGAUCUUGAAAGCCCAAGUAGUGUUUCUUUGUUAGAAGAUACAACGCCAAUGACUCAUACGGACUUCGGCUACACCAUCAAAGCUUUGAAAAAUCUUGGUUUAUGUUUUGGAGUUAAAUAUAAAUUGAUGUCCUGUCUGUGGUUGAAUAUUAGAACUUGAACCGCAAACGGAUCUGAAAAGGAAAAGUAGUGUUUCCAUGCUAGAAGAUACAAAGCCAAAGACUCAUACGAACUUCGACAUCCCCAUCAAAGCCUUAGGAAGCCAAAAGAAGCUUAGUUAGUUUUUUGGAGUCCAAUAUGACUAGAUUGCAUGUGUAUGAUUGAGUAUAAAAACUCAAACCGUAACCAGAUCUUGAAAGCCCAAGUAGUGUUUCUUUGUUAGAAGAUACAAAGCCAAAUACUCAUACGGACUUCGGCUACACCAUCAAGAAGCAAGAUGAAGCUUGGUUAGUGUUUUGGAGUCAAAUAUGAAUUGAUGUCCUGUGUAUGAUUUAGUAUAAGAACUAGAUUGGCAACCGGAUAUUGAAAGCCCAAAUAGUGUUUUCUUGUUAGAACAGACAAAGCUAAUGACUCAUACGGACUUCGGCUUCACUAUCAAAGCUUUGAGAAACAAGAAGGGGCUUAGUUAGUGUUUUAGAGUCAAAUAUGACUUGAUGUAAUCUGUAUGAUUGAGUAUAAGAACUAGAACCACAACCGGAUCUUAAAAGUCUAAGUAGUGUUUCCUUGUUAGAAGAUACAAACCAAAGACUCAUACAGAUUUUCGAUUACACCAUUAAAACUUUGAGAAGCAAGAAGAAUCUUGGUUAGUGUUUUGGAGUCAAAUAUGACCAGACGACAUUUGUAUGAUUUAGUAUAAGAACUCGAACUACAACCUAAUCCCGAAAGCCCAAAUAGUGUUUCCUUGUUAGAACAUACAAAGCCAAUGACUAAUACAGAUUUUGAUUACACCAUUAAAACUUUGAGAAGCAAGAAGAAUCUUGGUUAGUGUUUUGGAGUCAAAUAUGACAAGAUGGCAUGUCUAUGAUUUAGUAUAAAAACUCGAACUACAACCAGAUCUUGAAAGCCCAAGUAGUGUUUCCUUGUUAGAAGAUACAAAGCCAAAUUCUCAUACGGACUUUGGUUAAACCAUCAAAGCUUUGAGAAGCAAGAAGAAGCUUGGUUAGUGUUUUGGAUCAAAUAUCACUUGAUGUCAUGUGUAUGGUUAAGUAUUUGGACUAGAUCUUGAAACUUAUCCCAAAAGCAAAAGUAGUGUUUCCAUGCUAGAAGAUACAAAACAAAAGAUUCAUACGGACUUUGACAUCACCAUCAAAGCCUUAGGAAGCAUGAAGAAGCUUGGUUAUUGUUUUGGAGUCAAAUAUGACUAGAUGACAUGUGUAUGAUUGAGUAUAAAUACUCAAACCGCAAUCGGAUCUUGAAUGCCCAAGUAGUGUUUCCUUGUUAGAAGAUACAAAUCCAAAGACUCAUAUGGACUUCGGCUACACCAUCAAAACUUUGAGAAUCAAGAAGAAGUUCUGUUAGUGUUUUGGAGUCAAAUAUGACUGGAUGUCAUGUUUAUGAUGGCGUGUAAAACUAGAACCACAACGCGAUAUUAAAAGCCUAAGUAGUGUUUCGAUGUUAGAAGAUACAAAGCCAAUGACUCAAACGAACUUCAGCUAGACCAUCAAAGCUUUGAGAAGCAAGAAGAAGCUUAGUUAGUGUUUCUGAGUUAAAUAUGACUUAAUGUAAUAUGUAUAAUUGAGAAUAAGAACUAGAACCACAACUAUAUCUUAAAAGCCUGAGUAGUGUUUGCUUAUUAGAAGAUACAAAGCUAAAGACUCAUGUGGACUUUGGUUACACUAUUAAAGCUUUGAGAAGCAAGAAUAAGCUUGGUUAGUGUUUUGGAGUAAAAUAUGACUACAGGUCAUGUGUAUGAUUGAGUAUAAAAACUCGAACCGCAACCUCAUCUUGAAAGCCCAAGUUGUAUUUCCUUGUUGGAAGAUACAAAGCCAUAGAGUCUUACGGACUUCGGCUACACCAUAAAGACCUUGAGAAGCAUGAAUAAGCUUGGUUAGUGUUUUGGAGUCAAAUAUGACUUGAUGUGAUGUGUAUGAUGGAGUAUAAGUACAAGAACCACAACCUGAUCUUAAAAAUCUAAGUAGUGUUUCGUUGUUUGAAGAUAUAAACCCAAAGACUCAUACGGACUUCGACAUCACCAUCAAAGUUUUAGGAAGCAUGAAGAAGCUUGGUUAGUGUUUUGGAGUCAAAUAUGACUAGAUGGCAUGUGUAUGAUUGAAUAUAAAAACUAAAACCGCAAUCGGAUCUUGAAAGCCCAAGUAGUGUUUCCUUAUUAGAAGAUACAAAGCCAAAUACUCAUACAGACUUCGGCUACACCAUCGAGAAGCAAGAAGAAGCUUGAUUAGUGUUUUGGAGUCAAAUAUUAAUUGAUGUCCUGUGUAUGAUUGAGUAUAAGAACUAGAUUGGCAACCGGAUCUUGAAAGCCCAAAUAGUGUUUCCUUGUUAGAAGAUACAAAGCCAAUGACUCAUACGGACUUCAGCUACACUAUCAAAGCUUUCAGAAGCAAGAAGAGGCUUAGUUAGUGUUUUAGAGUCAAAUAUGACUUGAUGUCAUGUGUAUGAUUGCGUAUAAGAACUAUGAUAAUAGGUUCUUACUCAAUUAAUCCUAAAACACUAAUCUUGUCGUUGUAGUAUUUUAGGUGUCAAUCCAAAUGGGUGUGAUGCAGACAUAUGAGAUAUAAUCAGAAGUUUCUAAGUCAUGCCAAGCACAAUUUGGUUGGUUUUCUAACAGUCCUAGUGUUGAUGCAGUAAACAGUAAAAAGUCGCAGAAAUGACUGAUAUACUCGAUUGCAGGGUCGACUCCCAGAAAGGACCCUGUGAUCGAGUACAAUAGAAUGACAGAGAGUAAAAAUGCAGAAAUGGACCAGUUUACUCUAUCACACAGUCUCACUGUCAGUAGCAGGGUGUGAUCGAGUAGGAUGGUUGAAAACACGAAAAUACUAAAAUUCAAUAGCAAGUGAAUGAAGUAGGUAAGUAAACAAAGAAAUCAAUUGGAUGAGAAACUCAUAAGGAUGGGGUAAUCGAAUAGUGUGGUCUCCCUAAUCAAUUCAGUUGGUUAACAAAUCUCAAUUAAGCUAUCCCUAGACAACAGGUUCAACAACAGAUUAAUACACUCCCGUGAUAUAAAUUCUCAAGCAUAGCUAGACACUGACCUAAUUCCCAUUAGCGAUCUCUAACUAAGCAGGCAAUAAGAACCGACUGUUAAAGCCAAUAACCGCUCUAAACGGCCAAUCCCUUGGGAUAGAGACGAUUAUCACUGGAAUUAGUAGAUGCAACGUUCUAUAAAACGCCUUCUAAGCGCUGGAACGUCUGGGAUCGGAUUCCAGUUGAUCAUAAAGGAAUAAACAGUAAACACAACUAAUCCAGAAGGGAUUCAAUAAAUCUACACUUAACCAACAGAUUCGACCAGGGGUUCCACAGCUACCCUAUCCCAUCCUUAGAAACUCUAAUCACUACUCAGACAACAUGCUUAAAGACAACAACAUAGAAACGAUUGAAUAUUGCAUACUAAAAAUAUUAAAGGGAAUGAAACAAAGAUGAACAAGCAAAUGAAAUCAAAAUCUGAAUAACUUAGAAGAAAAAUCGAAAUACAAAGUUGCAGGAAUGAAAAGUGGCUGCUGAAUACUAGUGCAAAAUUCGUGUCUCUCAAAGUGUAUGUCUCAAGGCGAAACCCUUUGAGACUUAUUUAUACUAAGAUAAGAAAGCGGGUUUCGAGCCCACUUAACGGCCCAUGGACGAUGUGAUCAAGAGUGUCGACUCAAAGUGGGCUUCCUGAUGGACUUCGAAUGGGCUUCGAAUGGGCCUUCUCUUCUCUUCUCUUUCCGUUGCUCAGGUUGUCUGGUUGAGUGCGGAUUGAUCAAAGGGUCGAGGUGGUGGUUGAGUAGGUUGGUUGACAGAAUGGUCUGGGCUGCUUCUUGGCCUCUGUGACCGAGUAUGUGUGUUAGCUGUCAGGAUGGAUUGGUUCUUCUCCUCUGCGAUCGAGUAGAAUUGGUGGACUGGCAAAGUGGACUGCAUGGUCGCCUCUGCGAUUGAGUAGAAUUUUCAGGAUGGACUCCUUCAACUCUGUGAUCGAGUAGAACUGCAGUUGGGAUUGACUCCUCUCCUCUGCGAUCGAGUAUAAGUGUCUGGAUGGACUGUUGAGCUAACUGCUUCCCUCUCUCCUACUGGUGAUUGAGUAUGUUGGUGGAAAUGUGACUUUCUGUUCUGUUUUUCCUCUUUCUGAGCACCAAUAGACGCAAGACUAGUCCUAGACUCGACUAAAGACGCAAAAUGUACAAGAAUGAUGAUGAAUGCUAUGAAAGAUGGAUGAAACUAGACUCAAAGUGGUGAAAACAGGAUGUGUAAAACAUGCAAAUUAUAGACAUAUCAACUCCCCCAAACUUAGUCUUUGCUUGCCCUCAAGCAAACAAGUAGACAUAAGCUGAAGGAGAGGUUUGAAGGUGGGGAUCCAGAACCAAAUCAUCAAAUAAAUCAGAUAAAAUCAAUGUCCAAAAUGACAGUUCUAGGAUACGAUAUGAUGGAAUUCUACUCAAAAACGUUAGCCAUGCCUUAUUAUAGUUAAAUCUCACUCUUAUACUCGACCUACACAUGAUUUCAAAUCUACCAAUCCCUUUAACAUUCAUUAGUUUAGGAACGUGAAUCAGGCAAUGCACCAUCAAUGAACUCAUUUGGCUAAGGUGAAGGUCAGGAGACAAAGAUGAUCCCUUUCUGGUUGUUCAAGUUUAGUAACAGGGGACUCUCAAAAGAAAUGGACUGAGGUUUUGGAGAAUGCUAAAGGUAAGAGCCAACCUAUGCAUACAAAAAUAGUAUCCCAUCUACCCAAUAACAUAGACAGUGUAUACACCAGCAGAUGGUACUACCAUCAAGCCCAAAAUAUGAUCCUAGUUCUACCCUUUGCACUCAAGGUAUUUUUUUUUCUCAUUCUUAUCUUGGAUCAAACCACUCUUUCUUUUCUUUGACUCUUAUUCUAAGGAGAAGUUUCUUUUACUUUGAUGGAUCUAGUGGACUUUUGGUUUUCUUUGACAACUCUGACUCUUGUCCUAACACUUUCUUCCAAGCUCAAUCCUGAAACAGGCCUCACAAUCGUGAUCUUUACUAUAUUACGGUGAGAAAAUUAUAGGUUCGGACAUUGUUUUCAAAUAUUUUGCAUGUAUCAAAGCUCUUAUAAACAAGAUAGGAUAUUCCUACAUAGCUGGUGGGACCCCAACAAAUGGAUCAUGAAGUCUUCAAAAAAGAAUAGAUACGAUUGCAUUGCAUGUAGUAACAGAUGCGAUCAUACCAGCACUAAUGCACCAGAUACCAUCAGAAAUCCGCAGUUAAGCGUGCUUGGGCGAGAGUAGUACUACGACGUGUGACCUCCAGGAAAGUCCUUGUGUUGCAUAACUCUUUUGUUUUCGAUUUUUCUCAUAUUUUUUGUUAAAAAUGUAUUACUCUAUAACUUUUAGACCGUGAGGCCAAACUUGGCAUGUGAUACCUUUUCGGAAAGCCGAAAGAGUGCUCUCAAACGAAUGAGGAAUGGGUUGUUUUUCUACUCCAAAUUUUGACCUAAAUGUACUUUUUAUGGCCUUUUCUUGAUCUUUGCUAUAUUACGGGACAAAAAUUAUAUGUUCGGACAUUGUUUUUGAAUAUUUUGCAUGUAUCAAAGCUCUUAUAAACAAGAUAGGGUAUUCCUACAUAUCUGGUGGGACCUGAUAAUAUGUUUUUAGUCAAUUAUUCUAAAACACCAAGCAUGUCGUUGUAGUAUUUUAGGUGUCAAUCCAAAUGAGUGUGAUGCAAACAGAUGAGAUGUGAUCAGAAGUUACUAAGUCAAGCCAAGCAAUAACAGUUUUGGGGUUUCUACAGUCCUAAGUGAACAUGCAGAAAACAGAAACAAUAACAAAAUUACUAAAAUCACUCGACCACAACAGGCUGAUGCCAGAAGUAGGAUGUGGUCGAGUAACAGGUAGGAUAUGAAACAGAUAUACUCAACUGCACAGUCUGUUGCCAGACACUGGGUGUGGUCGAGUAUACUGGUCGAGUAACAGACAGGAAAUGAGACAACUGUACUCGACUGCACAGUCUGUUGCCAGACACUGGGUGUGGUCGAGUAAGUUGGUCGAGUAAUUGUAAAAACUAAGAAACAGGCAAUGAGAACGAUUAAGCGAUAACGAUAAAACAGAGAAAUAGUAUAGACGAGAAAUUCCUAAGGAUGGGGUAAUCGAGUAGAGUGGUAUCCUGAUAGGUUACGGGUGACGUUGGCUGGUGUGAGAAGAAGGGCGAGAUCAAAUGGAAGGAAAGGCAGAGCUCGUGAGAAGUUCCUGAGGAAGCUUCUAUUUAAAAGUGGCUAAGGCACAAAAAGACAGCUCGCCAGCUCGGCACAGAAAGACAGCUCGCCAGCUCGCCAACUGUGUCGUUUUACUUUUGGGUUAUCGAAAUGCUGCGUUUUGUAUUGAGUCUCAGUAGAUGCUAUUUAAGGAACCUUCCCUUUUAGGGUUUUGUUAUCAAAAUAAACAAUCAACAACAUUAAUCUUGAAAUUCUCUCUCUCAUCUACACUCUCCGCCGUUCAAGGUGCAUUUCCUAUUGUCUUGUUAUUUUAUCAGUCUUAGUCUUUUUCUUGUCUUCGAUAGGGUCAGACCUUAUCAUUGGUGCUUCUUCAUUGGAGAGACCGAUGGCUCCACCGUUACCUAAAGCCACCGCAUCUGAUACCGCCGUCGAGUCACCUGAACUCGGCUCGACAACAACACCACCACCUGAGGAACCUCCGCCAGCUCCACAUUUGGACACACGAGUAGACAAAGUGGAGAAAGAGAUGACUUAUGUCAGAGAGGCUCUAACCCAGAUCCUUAGAAAUCAGAUCUUUGGGGUUACGCGUGAGGGAAGUGCAGCUCCGAUAGGGUUCUCCACUCCGACACCGGCACUGCCUUUACAAGCUUCAUACCCACAACAUCUGGAAGGACCGAAUAGAGGAGUCCGUUUUUCUUCUCCAGCUCCGGCGUUACCAGUCUACACCUCUCAUCCUCAACACUUGGAGGUACAGAACAGAGAGACUCUGUUUUCCGGCACAAAUCAACGGGACACACACCCUCGGCCCUUACUCUUUGACCAGUCGCGAUACCAGGCGUCGACUUCAGAGAUACCUCGACUUCCAGCUUCACCCUUCGAACCGCGUCGCUUUCACUCGUCACCAUUAGAACCACCAGGGUUUCAGCUGAAUGCCUCCACGGGUCUUCCAUCAUCUUCAGGUUUUCCAUCUAAUCCUUCCACGGGGUUUCAGACUACUCCAACCUUCCAAACACAAACGUUUCCGCCUCAAUCUGCGCCACAUCAACCUCGGUUUGAAGCAGCCCCGCGUAGGACUGUGGAUUAUCCGGCUUAUGAAGGAGGCAAUGCCGACGAUUGGUUGUUCCGGCUAGAACAGUGCUUCUUAUCCAAUCGCACCCUAGAGGAAGAAAAACUGGAAAAGGCUGUGUCUUGUUUAACAGGAGCAUCAGUUACAUGGUGGCGCUGCUCUAAGGACAGAGAACAAAUCUAUACCUGGAGGGAAUUUCAAGAAAAGUUCAUGUUACGUUUUCGACCAAGCAGAGGCAGUUCUGCUGUGGAUCAUCUCCUCAACGUGAGACAAACAGGAACCGUGGAGGAAUACAGAGAACGUUUUGAAGAGCUCACAGUCGACUUACCCCAUGUCACAUCUGACAUAUUGGAAUCUGCAUUCCUCAAUGGACUGAGAAGAAGUCUUCGAGACCAGGUAGUUCGCUGUAGGCCAGUGAAUCUUGCAGAUAUUGUUGAGAUAGCUAAACUCAUUGAGUCACAAGAGCGGAAUGCUGUUAGUUACCAAGUGCGAAAUCAAGCUAGAACCAACACAGCUCCAUUCAACAAUCAGGUCUCCACAGGAUCUAGAGUGGUAGACCGUGCUCCAACGAGACAACCCUUCAUUCCUAGUAGGGAUACAACUCGUGCUUCAGGCAGUGGGGAAGCCAGGAACUCAAACCCGUGCCGCUACUGUGGAGAUAGAUGGUUUCAAGGCCAUAAAUGCAAACCACAAAAGCUCAAGGGUCUAGCCAUAACAGAAGAGGUUGAAGAGGAGAGUCCUCUAAUUGAAGAGUUGAAUGAACCACUGACAGAAGAAGAAGGGGAUCCAGAACCUGCAGAAGGUUUCAAGGUAAUGACACUCAGCUCCUUGAAUGAUGAGUCUCAAGAGCAGUCAAUGAAAAUGAGGGGAUACAUUGGCAACACCAAAGUGGUGUUAUUGGUUGAUUCAGGAGCAACUUGCAACUUCAUUAGUGAGGCUUUGGUAAGAGAGAAAGGAUGGUUAGUGACUCAAACUCGCAGUUUUGGAGUUAAAGUUGGUGGAGGCAGAAUCAUCAAAAGUAGUGGGAAGUGUGUCGAUAUACCACUAGAGGUCCAAGGAAUUGAGUUUGUACAAGACUACUACUUAUUUGACUUGGGAGAUUUGGAUUUGGUUCUGGGAUUUUCUUGGUUGGCAGGACUAGGAGAAACAAGAGCCAACUGGAGAGAUUUGAGGAUCAGUUGGCAGAUAGGUCGCACAUGGGUAUCCUUAUACGGCGACCCGGAUCUAUGUAGAGGACAAAUUUCGAUGAGGUCUAUGGAAAGAGUUAUCAAAUACACUGGAACUGCAUAUCUCUUGGAACUAGCAUCUUUGUUUGAAAGCAAGAAACAGGAAGAGCAAACAGCCUUGCAGCCUGCAAUCCAGAGGCUUUUGGAUCAGUACCAAGGGGUUUUUCAAACUCCACAGCUAUUGCCACCAGUUCGCAACAGAGAACACGCCAUUACCUUACAAGAAGGGUCUUCACCAGUCAAUAUCCGACCAUACAGGUAUUCUUUUGCUCAAAAGAAUGAGAUAGAGAAGCUUGUGCGUGAAAUGUUGAAUGCUCAGAUUAUAAGACCUAGCGUGAGUCCAUAUUCAAGUCCAGUUCUCCUAGUGAAAAAGAAAGAUGGAGGAUGGCGCUUCUGCGUUGAUUAUCGAGCAUUGAAUGAAGCUACAAUACCCGAUAAGUAUCCGAUUCCUGUUAUAGAAGAGCUAUUGGAUGAACUGAAAGGAGCCACAGUGUUUUCAAAGUUGGAUCUUAAAUCAGGCUAUUUCCAGAUAAGGAUGAAACUGAGUGAUGUGGAGAAGACUGCCUUCAAGACACAUGAGGGCCAUUAUGAAUUUCUGGUAAUGCCAUUUGGCUUGACCAACGCCCCCUCCACCUUUCAAAGCGUCAUGAAUGACCUAUUCAGGCCAUACUUGCGAAAGUUCGUCUUGGUUUUCUUCGAUGAUAUACUAGUUUAUAGUCCUGAUAUGAAGACACAUUUGAAGCAUUUGGAAACCGUCUUACAGCUACUGCAUCUUCAUCAGUUCUAUGCCAAUUUUAAAAAGUGCACAUUUGGAAGCACUAGGAUCUCAUAUUUGGGACACAUUAUCUCUGAGCAAGGAGUCGCAACAGAUCCAGAAAAGGUGGAAGCAAUGCUCCAGUGGCCUUUACCUAAAUCUGUGACUGAGUUAAGAGGCUUCCUAGGAUUCACUGGCUACUAUCGCCGAUUUGUCAAGAAUUACGGCCAAAUCGCCAGACCACUCAGAGAUCAGUUAAAAAAGAACAGUUUUGAUUGGAAUGAGGCAGCUACUUCUGCAUUUCAGGCUCUCAAAGCAGCUGUUUCAGCACUACCUGUGCUAGUGUUACCAGAUUUCCAGCAGGAGUUUACUGUGGAAACGGAUGCAUCAGGGAUGGGGAUUGGAGCAGUACUGUCACAGAAUAAGAGGCUUAUUGCAUUUCUCAGCCAAGCCUUCUCCAGUCAAGGCAGAAUAAGGUCAGUUUAUGAACGUGAACUGUUAGCCAUAGUGAAAGCUGUCACAAAGUGGAAGCAUUACCUAUCAAGUAAAGAAUUCAUUAUCAAGACAGAUCAACGCAGCCUCAGACAUUUGUUGGAACAGAAGUCGGUGUCCACAAUACAGCAGAGAUGGGCGUCUAAGUUGAGUGGACUGAAGUAUAGGAUCGAAUAUAAACCAGGAGUUGACAAUAAGGUAGCUGAUGCACUCUCAAGGAGACCUCCAACUGAGGCUCUCUCACAGCUCACUAUAACUGGUCCUCCUACUAUCGACUUGACUGCACUAAAGGCAGAAAUUCAGCAGGAUCAUGAGUUGAGCCAGAUACUUAAGAACUGGGCACAAGGGGACCACCAUGAUUCUGACUUCACUGUGGCAGAUGGCUUGAUUUACAGAAAAGGCUGUUUGGUAAUUCCUGUAGGAUCUCCCUUCAUUCCAAAGAUGCUAGAGAAGUUCCACACCAGUCCUAUUGGAGGUCAUGAAGGUGCCCUUAAGACAUUCAAACGACUCACAAGUGAAGUAUACUGGAGAGGGUUGCGGAAAGACGUGGUUAACUACAUCAAGGGAUGCCAAAUCUGUCAAGAGAAUAAAUACUCUACCCUCUCUCCAGCCGGUUUACUAUCACCUCUCCCUAUUCCACAACAGAUUUGGAGUGAUGUCAGCUUGGACUUUGUAGAAGGGUUGCCAAGCUCUAACAGGUUUAACUGUAUAUUGGUAGUGGUGGAUAGAUUAAGUAAGUAUAGUCAUUUCAUUCCACUUAAACAUCCAUUCACUGCCAAGACUGUAGUUGAGGCCUUCAUAAGAGAUGUAGUCAAGCUACAUGGCUUCCCAAACACACUGGUUUCGGACAGGGACAGGAUUUUCCUGAGCGGAUUCUGGUCUGAGUUGUUUAAGCUGCAGGGCACGGGGCUACAGAAGAGUACAGCCUAUCACCCACAAACUGAUGGGCAGACCGAGGUUGUUAACAGAUGUCUUGAGUCUUAUUUGCGAUGCUUUGCAGGGAGGAGGCCUACAUCGUGGUUUCAGUGGUUACCUUGGGCAGAAUACUGGUACAACACCUCGUACCAUUCAGCCACCAAAACCACUCCCUUUCAAGCAGUCUAUGGUAGAGAACCACCAGUUCUGCUCAGGUAUGGCGAUAUUCCAACCAAUAAUGCGAAUGUAGAGGAGUUACUUAAGGAUAGGGAUGGAAUGCUGGUUGAAUUAAGAGAGAACUUGGAGAUAGCUCAAGCUCAAAUGAAAAAGGCUGCUGAUAAAAGUCGACGUGAUGUAGCGUUUGAAAUUGAUGAAUGGGUUUACUUGAAGCUGCGUCCUUAUAGGCAAAGUUCUGUGGCUCAUAGGAAGAAUGAAAAGCUGUCCCAGCGCUACUUCGGUCCAUUUAAAGUGCUGCACCGCAUAGGUCAGGUCGCUUACAAGCUCCAACUACCCGAACACAGCACAAUUCACCCGGUGUUCCAUGUCUCUCAACUGAAAAGGGCUGUACCUCCGUCAUUCACCCCGCAGGAACUUCCCAAGAUACUAUCACCCACACUGGAAUGGAACACAGGACCUGAGAAGCUGCUAGAUAUCCGACAGAGCAACACAAAUUCAGGACCAGAGGUGCUGGUACAGUGGUCUGGAUUAUCAACCUUGGAAUCAACUUGGGAGCCGCUCCUCACUUUGGUGCAGCAGUACCCGGACUUCGACCUUGAGGACAAGGUCAGUCUUCUGCGCGGGAGCAUUGAUAGGUUACAGGUGACGUUGGCUGGUGUGAGAAGAAGGGCGAAAUCAAAUGGAAGGAAAGGCAGAGCUCGUGAGAAGUUCCUGAGGAAGCUUCUAUUUAAAAGUGGCUAAGGCACAGAAAGACAGCUCGCCAGCUCGGCACAGAAAGACAGCUCGCCAACUGUGUCGUUUUACUUUUGGGUUAUCGAAAUGCUGCGUUUUGUAUUGAGUCUCAGUAGAUGCUAUUUAAGGAACCUUCCCUUUUAGGGUUUUGUUAUCAAAAUAAACAAUCAACAACAUUAAUCUUGAAAUUCUCUCUCUCAUCUACACUCUCCGCCGUUCAAGGUGCAUUUCCUAUUAUCUUGUUAUUUUAUCACUCUUAGUCUUUUUCUUGUCUUCGAUAGGGUCAGACCUUAUCAUAUCCUAGCAUAUUCGAAUGGUUAACAAGCGCAAUCAAGCUAUCCCUAGACAAUAGGUUCAACAACAAAUCAAUUCACUUCUGUGAUAGAAAUCCUCAAGCAAAGCUAGCCCAGACUAAUUCCCAUUAACGCAAUCUAACUAUGCAGGCAAUAAGAACAGACUGAUAAAGUCAAUAAACGCUCUAAACGCCCAAUCCCUUGGGAUAGAGACGAAUAUCUCAGGAACUAGUGGAUCAAGCAUUCCAUCGAACACCUUCUGGGUGCGAGAAUGCUUGGGAUCGAAUUCCAGUUGAUCAGAAAGAAAUAAGCAGUAAACGCAACUAGUCCUGAAGGGAUUCAAUCAAUUCUAAAACUUAACCAUUCUACAGACUACGGAUUCCACAACUACUCUAUCCCAUCCCUAAGAAUUCUAUGUCACUACUCAGACAACAUGCUCAAAGACAUAAACGCAGAUAAAUGAUAAUAUUGCAUAAGUAAAGAGAUAAAGAGUAGAGAAACAGGAUGAUAGAUAAAAUCAAAUGCAGAAUCUGAAUAACUUGGAAAAAUCUCGAAUUAUAGGUUGUAGAAGCAAAAGCGGCGCAGAAGAGUAAAAUAGAAAAUAAAACUGAAACAAAAACUCAAUGUCGACUAGAUGUCUCAGGAAAGAACCCUAAGACAUCUAUUUAUACAAAACAAAAUGAUAGUAGACGGGCCAAUAACCUAAUCGCCCGACCAAUAGAGUGAUAAUGGGCCGAGAUGGGCUUUGUGAUCCGAUGGAGGUCCAGGCCGCUUCCAAACACUUUGUCUUCUCCUCUUCUCUUCCUUGUGCUCAGCUUGUCUGGUUGAGUGCGGAUUUGAGUAGACUGUGAAGACGUGAUCGAGUGUCCGGUCGAGUGAUGGUGAUGGUGGUGAGUGAUGAUACUCGACCAGGGGGUCGACUAACUUGGUAGAGUGAAUGGCCGAGUGUGGUCAGGUGGUGUGGCGAAGUGAUACUCGACCAGGGGGUCGAUGGCGUCAUCGAGUAGCCUGAGCUGAGGAUACUCGACUAGGGGGUCGAGUAGAUGGGAAGAAUGGCUCCAAAGUCACUCGACCAGGGGGUCGAGUAUGGUGCUGGAUGCACACGACCUGGUGGUCGAGUAUGUCUUCUGGUUCUGGCUCGUUUCUUCCAAUUUGCUCGCAAACAGCUCCAAAUCACCUGAAAACAACUUAGAAAUGCAAUAUGUAUGCAAAACUAUCCUAAUCAUGCAAAGUAUGCAAGAAUGAUGAGAAAUGAUAUAAAACAGCGAUGAAUGAUACAAAACUGGACUCAAAACGGUGAUGAAUGGACACUGAAAAGAUGUAAAUUAUAGACAUAUCAGGACCCACAGCAAAUGGAUCAUAAAGUCUUCAAAAAAGAAUAGAUACGAUUGCAUUGCAUGUAGUAACGGAUGCGAUCAUAGCAGCACUAAUGCACCAGAUCCCAUAAGAACUCCGCAGUUAAGUGUGCUUGGGCGAGAGUAGUACUAGGAUGGGUGACCUCCCGGAAAGUCCUCGUGUUUCAUCCCUCUUUUUUUUUUUGGUUUUUCUCUAUUUUUUUUUUUAAAAUGAAUGACUCUAUAACUUUUAGACCGUGAGGCCAAACUUGGCAUGUGAUACCUUUUCAAAAAGCCAAAAGAGAGCUCUCUGGUGAAUGAUGAAGGAAAAUGGAAUUCUUCUAUUGGGUUUUUUUUCUACUCCAAAUUUUGACCUUAAUGUACUCUUUUGGCGUUUUCGCGAUCUUUGCUAUAUUACGGGGCGAAAAUUAUAUGUUCGGACAUUGUUUUUGAAUAUUUUGCAUGUAUCAAAGCUCUUAUAAACAAGAUAGGGUAUUCCUACAUAGCUGGUGGGACCCACGACAAAUGGAUCAUAAAGUCUUCAAGAAGAAAAGAUAUUAUUGCAUUGCAUGUAGUAACGGAUGCGAUCAUACCAUCACUAAUGCACUGGAUCCCAUCAGAACUCCACAGUUAAGCGCGCUUGGGUGAGAGUAGUACUAGAAUGGGUGACCUCCCGGAAAGUCCUUGUGUUCCAUCCCUCUUUUUUCGGUUUUUCUCUUUUUUUUUUGUUAAAAAUGUAUGACUCUAUAAAUUUUAGACCGUGAGGCCAAACUUGGCAUGUGAUACCUUUUCGGAAAGCCCAAAGAGAACUCUCCGAUGAAUGAGGAAGGACAAUGGAAUUUUUCUAUUGUUUUUUUUUCUACUCAAAAUUUUGACCUUAAUGUACUUUUUCUGGCCUUUUCAUGAUCUAUGCUAUAUUACGGGGCAAAAAGCAUACGUUCUGACAUUGUUUUCGAAUAUUUUGCAUGUAUCAAAGCUCUUAUAAACAAGAUAGGGUAUUCUUACAUAGUUGGUGGGACCCACGACAAAUGGAUCAUAAAGUCUUCAAAAAAGAAUAGAUACGAUUGCAUUGCAUGUAGUAACAGAUGCGAUCAUACCAGCACUAAUGCACCGGAUCCCAUCAAAACUCUGCAGUUAAGCGUGAUUGGGCGAGAGUAGUACUAGGAUGGUUGACC
rnacentral:lncRNA from 1 species